UCAAACUUAAAUUCAUAUUUUUAGUUUACAACAUAUACUUAAUUUUUGACCUCGACAAAAAUAAAAAAAAUACAAAAAUAUACAAUAUAUAGUUAAAUUUUAACUAUAAAUUUAAGUUAAAUAAAUUUUUAAAUAUAUAUUUAUUUUUUAGUUUAUGUGAUUUAAAGUUUUAUUUUAUAUUAAAUUCGAAGUUAAAAUUUAAUUAUAAAUUGAAUAUUUUUGUAUAUUUUUAAAAGUUUGAGGAACUCAAAAUUUAAGUACGUAUCUUAAAUUAAAUUAAAACUAUCAAAAUUUUAAUGCACCUUUAAUUCAAAAUUCAAAAUUUAAAAUUAAUUUAUUUUAACUAAAAUAUUUUAAAUAUUAAAUUAAAUUUGAUUUUCAAAAAUUAAAUUUAAUUUAUGAUUUAAAUUGAAAUUUUAUAAAAUAAAAAAUAAAAUUAUGUUAUUACUGUCACCAAUAAUUAUUUAAAUUUGCGUUAGAAUAUGACAGAUAAUUUAUAAUAGAUUAUAAUAAAUAAAUUUAUUUUUUUAAUUAAUUUUUUUAUUCUAAAUUUUUGGAUAAAUAUAAUGCACAAAUUUAUAUUAUUUUGAGAUAACUUUUAGGAUAUUAAUUUGAAAUAACUAUUAAGCCGUUUUCGAUAAUGAAAUUUUCGAAUCGGCGAUCAGCUCUGUUAUACUUGAUUUAGCGUAUUCUAAAUAUUUAGAAAAUAAAUUUUAUGAUUCUUUAAUAUUUUUUACCUAGUGAUUAGAAAUAUUGAUCUUGUUACAAAUAGUAUAAAUUAUGUAAUUAUUAGGGUAUUAUUUAUCUAGUGAUCGAAAUGACUAAAAAUGAUGGACGACUAAAAAUAAAAAUCUCAUAAAAAAUUAUGAUAUAGUACAAAUUUUCAAUCAGAGAUAUUGAGAGAUAUUGAUCUUAUUGUAGAUAGAAUAAAAAAUUUUCUAUCAAUUUUUUUUUUAAUUUGAAUACUUUUAUACUGUUAAUAUAUGAUAUAAAUUUUUUUGAUCAAUAGAUAAAUUAUAUCAAAAAAAUUACAAAAUUAGUUUUUUAUGUCCUUCAAAUAUAUUAGAUCAAGUCUAACGGAAUCGAUUGUUGAUUCGAAAAUUCUAUUAUCAAAAAUGGUUUGGAAAUAAGGAGGCCUAUGUGCUCUUAAUAGCAAACUAGUCCUACUAUAUAUAUGCAUGGCUACUGUACUAUUAAGAGCAGAACAUUUAAUUUCUCCCCAAUUUUUUUUUCUCUCUCAUCUUAUCCAUCAAAAUUGAUGGAUGGCUAGAAAGAUAGAAGUACAAGGACUGCUGUGCUCUUAAUAGCAUAAUAGUCGUUAAUCUCUCAAAAUUUUUUCUCUCAUCCUAACUACCCAUCAAAAUUGAUGAAUGGUUAGUAAAUUAGGAGCACAAUAACUGCUGUUCUCUUAAUAGCACAGUAGCCUUACUCAUAGAGAGAGAGAGAGAGAGAGUAAAUCUUGCAUGCUACUAGGAGCACGGAGUCUUUCGUGCUCCUGAACCGUUUUCGAUGAUAGAGCUUUCAUAUCGACAAUCGGUUCGUUAGAUUUGAUCUAGCGUAUUUAAUAUAUCUAGAAAAUAAAUUUUAUGAUUUUUCGAUAUCAUUUAUCUAGCGAUCGAAAGGUUUCAAAAUGAAUAAUUUUUAAUGGUUGAUAUAUAUCAAUUUUUUUUAUGAAAUUUUUAUUUUCAGUUAUUAAUUUUGAACCUUUUCGAUCGCUAGGUAACGAUAUAAAGUUUAUUUUUUAAAUAUUUCAAUUAUGCUAGAUCAAAUCUAGCAUAAUAGCACACAAGAUCUACUCUCUCUCUCUCUCUCUCUCUCUCUCUCUCUCUCUCUCUCUCUCUAUAUAUAUAUAUAUAUAUAUAUAUAGUAUAUGUAGUUGAGCUACUAUUCUAUCGAAGCACGGACCUUCCGUACUUCCAGCCGUUUCGAUGUUGGCGACUUUCGAAUCGUCGAUCGGCUCCGUUAAACUUGAUCUAGAGUAUUUAGAAUACCUAGAAAAUAAAUUUUAUUAUUUUUUCGAUAUCAUAUUCGCUAGUGAUCGAAUGGGCUCAAAAUCACAAAUUUCAAUGGCCGCAGUGAGCCGUUUGCAAGUUUACGGUGUAGAAAUAUCCAAAUCACGUGAAAUUUUGAUAGAAAAUUUUUAUACUAUUUAAACAAGAUCAAUAUCUUGAUUUAAAAUUUAAUGUCAUAUUAUUCAUUUUGUAGAUUUUUUAUUUUCAGCCGUUGAUUUUGAGCCCUUCGUCAUAGGCAAUGAUAUCGUAAAAUCAUAAAAUUUAUUUUUUAGGACUUUCAAAUACUCUAGAUCAAGUUUAACGAGCAAUCGACGAUUCGAAAGUCGCAACUUAAAACAGCUGAAAGCAACGGAAGGCUACCGUGCUUCCGAUAGCAUAGUAGCCUCACUCUAAUAUAUAUAUAAUAUAUAUAUUAUAUAUAUAUAAUAUAUAUAUAUAUAUAUAUAUAUAGAGUCGGCUACUAUCUUAUUAUAGAAUUGGAGCUAUUGUCCCCUAAUCAAAUCGUUUUGAUUUAUCGAAAUUUCAAAUUGAAAUCGGCCCGUUGAAAUUGAUUACACAAUUAGAAGUAUUUAAAACGCAAAUUUUGUAAUAUUUAAAAAUAUUAUCAAUUCAUCUUAAGAGUUAAAAAUAAACGGUCGUAAUGAAUAACUUUCUUAAAAUAGAGUUAGACUUUCUCAAUUCAUAAUCAGGUUUCAAACAUUAUCUAAAUAAUAUAAAAACAUUUUUAUCAAAAAUUCAAGCAAUUUGGAUUGCUUUACACCGUUAAACAAACAAGGCUCAUACAUGCCGUCAAAAAUUGUCAAUUUUACGCAACUUUGAUCACUAUGUAAAUAAUUUUAAAAUUUAUGAAUUUAGUUUCUAGAUAUUUCAAAUACUCUAGAUCAAUUUCAACGGCUCCGAUCAUCAUUCGGAAUCUGGAUCAUCAAAAACAAUUUGAUAGGACAAGUGCUCCUAUCCUAUUAAUAGGAUAGUAAAUCUAGCAUAUAUAUAUAUAUAUGAUAUAUAUUAUAUAUAUAUAUAUAUAUAAAGCUCUAUACAUCGAAGCCGCUUUAGGAACACUUGAGUCUCUCAUGCCUAAUAGCACGCAAGCACCUUCUCCUCUCUCUCUCUCUCUCUCUCAUCUCUCUCUCUCUUCUAUAUAUAUAUAGAUAUAUAUAUAUAUAUAUAGUGAGGCUACUAUGCUAUCGGAAGGCACGGAGCCUUCGUGCUUCAGUUCGUUUUCGAUGUUUGCAACUUUUGAAUCACGUCGCGCUCCGUUAAACUUGAUCUAAGUAUUUGAAGUACUUAAGAAAAUAAAUUUUAUUAUUUUCGAUAUCAUUGCUAGUGAUCGAAUGGGCUCAAAAUCAACAAAUUUCAAUGGUCGUAGUGAGCGUUUGCAAUUUAACGGUGUAGAAAUAUCCAAAUCAGUGAAAUUUUGAUAGAAAAUUCUUUAUACUAUAUAAAACAAAAUCAAUAUCUUUGAUUUAAAAUUUUAAUGUCUAUUAUCACAUUUGUAAGAUUUUUAUUUUCACCGUUGAUUUUAAAACCCCUUCGUUCACUAGGCAAAUGAUAUCGUAAAAUCAUAAAAUUUUUAUUUUCUAGUACUUCAAUAUCUAGAUCAAGUUUAACGAGCGAUCGCGAUUGAAAGUUGCAACAUAAGAAAAUGAAGUUGGAGCCACGGAAGGCUCGCGUGCUUCGAUAGCAUAAAGCCUCAUACUCAAUAUAUAUAUUAGUAUCAUUACUUAUAUUUAUAAUAUAUAUAUUCAUAGUAAGUACAAGCGGUCUGAUUUUUCAUCGGAAGUUCCGCUUAGGAACACGUUAGAGUCCUGCAUGCUCGCUAAUAGCACGCAGAAGAACCUCUCUCUCUCUCCUCCUCUCCCUCGGGUCUCUCUCUCUCUCACUAGUAUAAUAUAGAUAUGUAUAUUAGUACAGGUAUUAUAUAGUGAGGCUACUAUGCUUAUCGGAAGACACGGAGCCUUCGCGUGCUUCCAGUUGCAGUGUUUCGAUGUUGCAGACUUGUUGAAGUUCGACGAUCCAGGGCUCCUGGUUAAAACUCGCGACUCCAAUAGAGGAUUGAAAAGGUUCCGUAGGAGAAGAGUUAUAGAUGUUGGAUUAUUUUUUCGGAUAGUCAUUCUGUCCUAGUGUAUCGGAACUGCGCGCCGUCUCAAAAUCAACAAAUUGUCCAGAUGGUGUGCAGUAGGAGGUUUUGCAAGUUUGAACGGUUUUCGGUGUGAGGAAUAUCAAAUCACUGGUGAUAUUGUUGAUAGAAAGAUUCUCGUAUGACAGUAUAGGAAACUCUCAAAGAUUCCAAUAUCUGUUGAUUUAAAGAUGUUUAAUGUGCAUAUUAUACAUUUUGUAAGUAUUUUUGAUUUUGCAGCCGCUUGGAUUUUAGAACGCGCCUUCGGUUCACUUAAAUAAUGAGUAGUCGGUAUAAAAUCAUGAAAAGUUUAUUUGUCUUAGGUACUUUCAAGAUAGCGUGAUAGAUCCUAACGUUUAUACGUGAGGCGCGGAUCGGACGGAUUCGCAAAGCUUUGCCAACAUCGGAAGAAUGAGUGUUGGAAGGGCACGCGACAGGCUUCGGUUGCUGCCGGAAGUAGGAUUAUGAGUGCGUCACUCCGUAACUAUAGUAGGAUAUUAUAUAUAUAUAUAUAUAUAUAUAUAUAUAUAUAUGCGCCUACUAAUUGAAAAACACCUAUUUUUGACGUCAACAAGGAUUACCCCAGUAUCCACCCCUUUAAUCGGCGGCUUGGUUUCAGAUCUUAUUGAAAGAAUCGCAGUGUAGUUAGGCUUUCAUGUACAUUACACACACCUGCGUUUAACAAACACUGAUAUCCACAUACCAAUUAAGCAGCUGCGGAUUGCUUAUCAUCUGGGUCUUCCAGAUUCAAUGCUUGCAACAGCUUCGGCCAAGACUCCGGGAUGCCCCCGGGUAACUCAAACUCCAAGAGUUUCCCUCGUCUGCCGUAGAACUCCUCUACUGGCUCGCUCUGCAGGAAAAAGAAAAGAAAGAAAAAAACGAGAGGGAUUUUUUGCUUCUGAGAAAGAAUAUAUUGGAGAUUUGUAUAUGUUGGUUAAAAGUAGCCCCUAAAGAUUCAAUAUACAAGAGAAUACUGGAAAUAAUUAGAUUGCUAAAAGCUUGUCAAAUAAAUAAGACGUGAAAGCGAAAGUCAAGGCGCUAGAGGUCUAGAACAAACCACAGCAAGUAUCGGUAAUAUGAUGUGGAAGUACCCACAAUGAAAGGGUACGCUACAAAGUAGAAUACUCCGAACCAAUGGAGGUGAAAAGAACACGGCUGUUGUUUUUUCUUUCAGAAAAAAUUGUAGGUAUUUUGCCAUCAAUACCUGGUUUCAAAUAUCAGCAUCUAUUCAAAACUGCUUCUACUGAAAAAGUUGUCGUCCAAUUUGGUGAAAUGUAUUGUUCGAUACCAACAAGAGGCAGGUUAGGUUGUUCCCAAAGUAGAAUCACCAUCUGGUUAGCCAUUCUAAUCUAACCUUUAAAGCUUUGGAGAAUAUCUAAUUUGCCCCUGGUUUUCAAAAUUGACUUUUUUGUUUCCAAAUUUGCCUAAUUGCCUCUCUAAAAAAAAUGUGAGAAAGAUCUUUUUGUUACAAAUAUACGCCUGCCUUUGAGGGUUUAUUGGGGAGAUUUGAAAUUUUAGAGGGUAUUUUGAAAAUUAAAGGGUAAAUUUUGAAAAAGUGAAACAACAGUCAGGGGUAUAUAAAAAAUUGCCUCAUAUCAAAUUUAUAAACCAAGAUUGGGUACUCUGCACUUUCUAACACAAGCAACCAAGUGACUUCACAAUUACGGAACACUACCAAUAUACGCAAACUAAAUAAUUGAAACCCUCCUAUGAAGCAUUUAUGGAGGCAUAAAAAUUUGUAAAUUACUAAAUACAACACGGUUAUGAAAAGUUGAGCUAAUUUUGCAGGAAGGAGAGCAUAAGAAUCUGGAACGUACCAAAUCGUGAUACACGCGUAAUCGUUCCUUCACCACUUUUUCGGUGUCAUCUGAUCGAGUAAUGAGCUUCGACGCACAUUGUGGAGGAGGUAGAAGCGGAGCCAUGUAUAUGCCUGGCGUCCCAUUCUCGCCCUUGAUGUCAAUGGAGGCCACAUUGAAGUUCCCUCCACACUGACUGCAAAUCCUUCUCCCCAGGCACUUUGUGAGCAGCACAUCUUCUCGAAGCUUAAGGUUGAUCACCAGAUCGAUGUCAGUCACUCCCUCCAGUAUUUCCUAACAAAUCAGACACCAAGGGAUGGAAUUGGAAUGAGUAGAGCAUUUUUUAUGCAGUAAAUUUGAAACUUAAGCAGCUGCAAUUAAGUAUCUCAAUUGACAGUAAACUAGAUUUUCUGAGGGAACAGACAGUUUCCAAAGAAUUGAAGUUGAACCAUUCAUGGUAAAAUAUAGGAAACAAAAUUCAGGUUACAGAUUGUAAGCUCUGCAAUUAACAGCUAAAAAAUGGGAUUCAUGUUCUCAAAGCAUUUAUGUUAUCACUUAAUGCAAAAUUAUUUACAAUUCACCCAAUUAUUAUGCAUUCAAAAGACGGCUGUGGCUCUUGUUAUUUGUUAACAGGGGCGUUUUACCUCAAAGGAAUUCGCCCCUUGUUUUAAAUGGAAAGCUCUCUUUUUCUAUGGAUAAUACUUAGCACAAGUGACCAAAGGCUUAACGGUUGGCACCUAAGGUCUCAAGUUCAAAGCCUUAUUUCUUUACGUUUCCGCAAAUAGCAUGCUACCAUUCUCUCUCUCAAAAAAAGAAAAAAGAAAAAAGAAAAAAAGGAGAACACUCUUUUUCUAUAGGGCAAGUGCAAACAGGUGGAAUUCUGAAACAUAUGAAAUAAACUUCAAAGGUAGUAUACUUUUGCCAGCCGCUGGCGCCUAUGAAUAAAUUCUUACUCUUCAUACAAUGCAAAUUUUAAUACAGUGAAUAAAGACUCAGCAAAUUGCAAACAAAAACACCACGGAAACAAAGUAUUGUGAUGAUAUUGCGAGUCAAUGGCCGGUAAGAAUGAACAAAAGUAAAAAACUUUAUAAAACAGACUCCUGCAUUAGUAGACAGCAACAAGUAUGAUGACAUCAAUUACACAGGACAAUCAUGCACAAAAUCAGGGUCACUUAUCUUGAAGACAUCUUAUAAUGAAAACAGAUAGAAUACCAAGCUAAAUAUUAGACAAGAAGUAAAUAUUACUAUGUGUACUUACAAUCAGAACGCAUAGCUAGCUCACCGCUUGUCUUAUCGUUCGUGGAAAUCCAUCAAGAAUGAAUCCUGAUUCACCCUUAGCUUCUCCGUCUUCAAGGCGCUUCGACAAUAAGCUAAUGAUGAUCUCAUCUGAUACCAACUUGCCUUGAUUCACAAUCUCUGCCAGCUAAAGUACAAAAUAUGAAAUGAAUUAGCAUAUAUCAAAAUCAGUGCCUUCGAAGCACAUCAGAAGACGAUUCAAUACAAGCAGCAAAAAUUUCAAGUAACAUCUUCAGGAUCAGAGAAACUGCAGUGCUAUUUGGAGAAGCACUUUAUUAACAUGCCAACAAUACAUACUUAUAUUCAGGUCUAAGAAAAUACGCCCAACAAAACUUGCUUAAGAUUAGGGUAAUUUGUUUGUUUCCAAAGUGUCUUAUUCUGUAAGCAUAUCCUACUUGUUAACUUUAAAUCUCUACCAGAUAUAUGCAAAAGAAAAACCUAAUCUCGUUCCAUUUCAUUGUAAUGGUAUCGGCAAGAUCAACGUAAUGAAUCUCUAACCCUUAAUAAUUCUUGAAUCUAAAUUCUAAAGACCUACUCAUCCAAACUAGCCUCGAUAUGCCUAAUUAUACCGUAAUUUAGGAAACAGAACAGCGAAUCCCCCUUUAUCUCAUCAAACAAGAAACCCUAAAGAACACCUUAUGGAUCAAAGACACAACGGGAAAAGGCAAAGAUCGGGAGGGUACAACGAUCGUUUACCUCUUUGGCGAGGGGUCCGGACGAGGCGAGCUCUUCACGGACGAGGUCACCCGUGGCGAUGUGGGGGACGCCGAGGAGGUGGGAGAGGCGGCUCGCGUAGGUUCCCUUCCCCACGCCGGGGCACCCCAGGAACACCCACUGCACGUUCCAGCUCCUCGGAUCCCUCUUCGUCCUCCUCUCCGCUGUCUCUCCCUCGCGCCCCACGCUCGCCGCGAACGCGGCGCCUACCUCGGACGACGCCGCCGCCGCAAACCUCCGCGCCGCCGCCGCAGCCGCCGCCGCAGAGGCGGCGGCCCGGCCUCGCAUCAAGCGGUUUAGGAUCGCCAUCGCCGGAGCCGCGCGAGGGCGAGAGAGCGAGAGAGAGAGAGAUUUAGGGUUCGGCGAUGAUCGCGGAGAGGGUGGCGGGGACGAGGCGAAGAAAUGGAAUAAAAUGCGAGAAUAAAGAUGAGAAUAAGUUACUCGAGGAGGAGAACAGCGUAGGGCCGUAGCGAAUAAAUAAUGGGGAUAAAAAUAAACGAUGGGAUUUUUACUUAUUUUAUUGGGAAGGACAAUAGGAAUCUAGAAGAGAAUCCCAAUAAGAGGGUUUAAGACGGUUCCCGAAUUCAGAUGAACAACCUAUUACCCAUACAAAUUUACUCACUUUUUUUUUUUAAGAAAAAAAAACUAUACAAGACUAUUGUUUUAGGGUGACUUAUGAAUGACUUUUUUUUCUUUUUUUUUUUCAGGGACGUUAGACUUUUUUUUUUUAAUGUGAAGUAAUUAGACUUUGAGUUGGACCUCCAAUUUUAAUUAUUAAAUCUUUUAGGGAGAUUGUUGAUGUUGAUGUUGAUGUCCCGAUAAUUUUAUACAGCAUCUUUGAAUUUCUAGCUAUAUAUCUAAGUAAACCUUUCCACACUAACUAUGUAAGAAAUCCUUAACAAGCUUAACAACACUUAUGUUGAUGUAACCAUUUAUCCAGUUACAUAGGUUAUUAUUUAUUAACUGAAUUUGAUCGGAUUUAUAUAGUUACAAGUGUCAAAAUGUUAUAAUUUAAAGAAUCAGUGAGUAAAGUGUAAGGAAAAUUUUUUUGGGUUGCCGCAUAAUUAAAGAGCAGUGCUAUAUGUACAUCUAUAAAUUAAGCGUAAAUCUUACAUUUCACUAAUUUAAAUACUGCCAUAUUUUCACCGAUUUUAUAAAUUUUAUUUCAAUACCAAAAAUAAAAAAAAUUUAUAAAUCUUAGAAAGGUGAGAUGUAAGAUUGAUACCUUACGUGUGAUCUACAAAUAGUAUUUUUGUAAUUGAAUGACUUCUUAUUCCACUCAUAAGAAUAAUGAUAAAUUAUUCAUUGACCAAUGAUAGAAAGACACACUAGACUCAUUUUACUAUUGGAAGAUGAAAUUAUUAAAUAUGAUUAUUAUUUUCUUACUAAUUAAAUACUAUUGCUUGAAUUUUCCAAAUAUAUAUAUUUUUUUAAUACAAAUUAGCGCAAAGAUUGAAGUAUGAGGACAAAGCUUGUAUAAUUACAUGGUGGCAUCUGGGAUGCAAACGGAUCCAGAGGACGGAAAGGGUUUUUUUUUACCUUCUGUCAUGUUUUCUUGACGGAUCAAGGUGAAUUCAGAACAGAUUAACUUUAUCUUAUUUUUAGCCUUCACUUAAUAUCCCUAGUUGACGUGGCCUGAAUAAGUAGUCAACAUCAAAUCAUGGAACCGACCGUCUCUAGAGCAAGUGGUAAAGGAUUUGAUGGUUGGUACUCAGAGACUCAAGUUCGAAUUCUAGUUGAUUCGCAUUUUUAGCUAAGUUUAUUUCUAAAUUAAAUAAACGAAGCGGAUAGCCUGCUAUCUAUCUCUUAAAAAAAAAUAAAAAAAAAUAUCAAAUCAUGGUGUGCGACAUUGGGUUCCCUGGCCAAUAUGAAAACACGUUAUGAAAACACGUUACAUUUGAGGAACACAAAUCCAACGUGACUUGAUCAAACGUGCCCUCCCCAUCAACCACUAACUAAAAGGGAAAAAAAAAAAGAAGAAAGAAAAGCUACGUAUUCUUUUCGCAUUAAUGCAACCGCCAGCAUUGGACUAGUUCAUGAUGGAUCAGAAAUUUAAUGAAGCGUUAUAAAAAAGAAUUAGUUUAAAAAAAUAUAUUUGUGGAAAUUAGAUUCUUAUAAAAUACAACAUUUUCAUGUUUGGUUAUCCAAUGAUCUUGCAUAAACUAAAUUAUAGCUGUUCUCGAUAUCAAAUUUAAUGUUUCAAGAGAGCUAGAGGAGGAACAAAUUUGUCAUAAACACAUCAAUAAAAUAUAAAACAAAAUUUCCUCUACAAAGAGAACUGUGUUAAUUACACAUUAAUUAAUUAAUGAAUAUGAUUUCAAAAGAAUACACUGGCCCACCCACACACGCCAUUCACAAUUUCAAAAGAAUUCAUGUUUAAAUACAAACAAAUAAUUAAAAAAAAAAUGCCACACAUGAUCAUUUGUUCUUAGUUAACUAAUCCGCAGAUCUUUCUAAUCUCGCCAGCCGCGCCUGCCAACGGACUAAUGUCCCCCAUCUUCACCAUCGCUGCUGCGAAGUCGGCGUAAAACGCGGCCCUGUUCGUGCUGUAACCCCUCACAAUGUCGUCGGUCGCGCCUCCGUUGAACAGAACCUGGUCUGAGUGCAGGAGCCCCUUCUGCUGCAGUAGAUUCUUGUAGUAGUUGUUGUCGAACGAAUUCGGCGUGACCAAAUCGAGCGGGGCGAGGUUGGUGUUGCCGCCCGCUGAAGGGCACCGCCUUCGCCGUGUGCUUGCGAACCCCGCGUCGAUGUCGGUCUCGUUGUAGAUGCGGUUACGGAACGUGACACAUUGUGCUUGGCCUAUAGUGUGGGCACCUGCAAUGGAUUUGAUUUUGUUAAUUAUUACUCAUUAAGUAAGUAGAGAUUGAUUAAUUUAGGGUGAUUAGUUAUAAGUUAAUUACCAGAGAGGGCAACCAUGUCUUUGACACUUAGGCCCUGUCGAGCAAAGGAGGAGACGAGGGCGUCGAGAUCAUCGAAAGCGGUCGGAAGGUCGGCCCGAGCCAAGUCUUUGUUGGCUGUCGUUGAGUCUCGUCUUCCUAGCUUAACCGUCCACGUCGGACCGCCCACCUGUUACAACAUUUAUGAAUUGAUGAUCAAGUUAAGUUGUGAUUAUAAGCUCGCGCAUUUUGAUUUUAUCGUCUGUUUAGCCUAACUUUUAAAAUAGCUUUACUGCUUACGAAGAUAUCUGUCAUAGAAAAACUUAAGAGCUUUGCCUUUGCGCUAGAUUAUAAAUAAAACUAACAUGAAUCUUUGAAUCUAAAGCAUGUAGAAUUUGAGAUUUUAAGCUUCUACUUUUAGCUUCUGUAGGAAGUUGCAGGUUAGAUUAUUUAACUUAAAAAUUUUAUAAAGUUUUUUUGAACAGCUCUGCUUAAAUACUACUUUUAUAGAAUUUUAUGUUGGAUUUAUUGAACAAGUACUAAUUUAGGAAUAAUGCAUGCUAGCUUGCACCUACAUAUUCAGAAGAAUCUCUUGCGACAACUGCGAGGAUGUCGGCACACGACAUGACCCCCGGGCACACCUUCUCAACUGCAGACUUCACGCCGUCGAUCACUUCGAAGCCCCUGGCUGACUUGAAAUUCUGGAGUGCGUUCUGCUCGCUCACGAUGUUUGGAGCAUCGACAAGCAAAAGCGACGCAUCACAUCCCUAAAACCACACAUGCGAAAUCGAUCACGAACAUUCGAAAUUUUUUUCUUCUAAAAUAGCACAUAUAUCUUUCGACGGCAAUAUUACAUACUUGGACGAAGCAAUCGUGGAAGUGGAGGCGGAUGAGCGAGGCCGCCAUGCGGCGCUCCUUGGUGAUCGCGGUGCGAACGGCAGCGCGGAUCGUCGAGAGAGCUUGUGGGCAUGUGUAGUCAUAGUAGUUUGGUGUAAGUUGUGCUUCACAAGUGAAAGUGGAGAGCAGCAGCAAUAGAACAGUAGCAGCAAAACUUGUAAUAAUAAUGUGGAAACCAGAGCCUUUAGAAGUAGUACUCAUUUCUAUGGGUUCUUAGUGUCUCCAAAUAUGUAUAUAAGAGAGAGAGAAAUAGAGAGAGAGGUGUUUGUAAAUGUGAGGAGUGUGAGAAGGUGUUGUAGUAGAGGAUGGAGUGGAGAAACAAACACAAAUGGCGAAUUUAUAGGGUUCUAAAAACAUUGAAUAACAAGGAAAUAAGAAACUUUCAACGAUAUAAGAUAAAGGUUUGCCAGGUCUUCUACCAACCAAAAGUUUAGGGAAAACUUCAAAAACCCCCCCUGUGGUUUCGUGCAUUCUCACUUUCCUACCCUGUGGUUUAAAACGUAUCAAUUUGCCCCCCUGUGGUUUCGUUUUUAUCUUUUUGUUAUCAAUUUUAUUAUUAUUUUUUUUAAAAUCAGUGACAAAGUUAAAAUUAAAGGAUACUAAAGUGACUAUUCGAUAAAUAUAGAUGGUUAUCUGAAGUUUUUUGUAUAUAAUUUAACGAAAUAUUAACGAAAAAGCUUCCGAAAAGAUAAAAACGAAACCACAGGGGGGCAAAUUGAUACGUUUUAAACCACAGGGUAGCAAAGUGAGAAUGCACGAAACCACAGGGGGGGUUUUGAAGUUUUCCCUAUUUUAUGAUUUGUCUCCGUCCUAUGAAAUUAUUGCUUGCGCGCCGUGUACGUGUAUCCUUACAUCUCAUGCACCGCAUUCAAUAUUUGCCGCUUGAUAUUUUGAAAUCAAAGUGUAAUUAGAGAAAGUUAAUCAAUCAUAUCUACAGGCCUAUCCUAUCGGAUAGUCGCAAAAAAAAUUAUCAGUAUAAAAUAUUUUUUUUUUUUGAGAGAGAUAGAUAGCACACUAUCCGUUUCGUUUAUUUCAUUUAGAAAUAAACUUAGCUGGAAAUGUUCGAACUUAGAACUUUGGGUACCAACCACCAAACCUUUUGCCACUUGCUCUAGGGACGGUCGGUUAUCAGUAUAAAAUGUUAAGAAGAACAAUUGCUAGUCCUAUAUAUUGAAUAGAAGAAAGAACUAUAUCUUUACUAUUUUGAUCGAUUGCUAGCAUUUGUUAAAUUAUAUGAAACGGUGUUUCUCUUAGAAUGGUAAAGCUGCUAUAAACGGUAUUUUUAAUAUUUAUACUAAAUGCUCCCUCCAUGUCUUUGCUCAAGGUAUUUUUAUAAAUUUAAGAUGUAGACUUAUAUUAAAGGGGCAAUUGUCUAUAUACUCCUGAAAAGUUUUCGAUUUUCUUAUUUACCCCUCUUAAAAGGCUAAUAUUGAAAAUACCCUUCUUAUGUUUCAAGUUUUUCUAAAAUAUCCCUGGAGUUAAGUUCCAUUAGUGAGCUGCCGUUAUCUCUGAAAAAUUACCAUUUUGCCCAUUCCAAUAUACCUUUGUACCGUAACAAACUUUUUUUAUAUAUCCUUCAUAUAGCAAAUACUUUUCUUAUUUGCCCUUCAGUCGGAUCCGGAGCAGAGGGCGUGCAGGGGUCCAAUGGCGCUGCGGCCCUCUUGCUCCUGGCGCCGGCCAAGGCAGCGGAGGAGGAGAAGGACGACGAGAGCGGCGACAGAUGGGAUCGUCGCUGCGGCCCUCUUGCUCCCGGUGCCGGCCAAGGCGGCGGAGGAGGUGGACGACGGCGACGAUGAGAGCAGCGGUGGAAGAAGACGACGAGAGCGGCGAGAGGGAUGGUGUUGGAGGUGAAGGUGUGGGAGGUGGUGGUGGUCUGGGAGGAGAUGAGGCGAGGUGGAGGCGGAGGAGCCGGCCGGUGGUGGCGACCAAGUUGGGAAAGAAAGAGAAGAUAAUCUUAGGGAUUAGUAUAAUAAGGUAGGGACAAAAUAGGUAUUUUAUUUAGAUUUUAACUUUAGUAUAGAUUUAACCCAUGUUUAACCCGAGUUAAGCUAACAGGGAAUAACUGCGGGGUAUUUUGGAAUAACGAUGGAACAUAUUAGGGGCAUUUUAGAAAGAAAAAAAAAGUAGGGGUAGAUUGAAUAUUUCCGAAUGCAUGAAGGGUAUAUAGGCAAUUAUCUCUAUAUUAAAUAGGAAAAACUUAUAAAUAGCCCCUCUUUUUUUUAAAAAAAAACUUAAUUUAUCAGAGAAAAAUAUUUUUAGUAUUUUAUAUUUGACAGAAUUAUAUCUAAUAAACUAAAUUCUAAUUUCAAAGUUCCGUGGUGUAUGAGAUGGAUAAGAAUACACAGGGAACAAGCAAUAAUUUCUCUCGUUGGUCUAACAGCGACGAAAAAUUCUAGAAUACAACGGGUAUAUUAGUGACGUGGCGUAACAAACCAAUCAAAUUAAUCCUUUUAAGAAUAUAUGUCCCAUCAUGAUUGUAAAAAAGUAUUUUUAUUGUACUUUUAUUUAAAAAGAAGGAAUGUGAUUGGCUUGUUAUUGAUGACGUGGUGCAAGUGUGACAGUGUAGAAUUCCUCAACAGCGACGGCCGCGUUUUGGCCCGUGUGAGGGUCACCAAUAACGAGCUCUACUAUUCAAAUAUGACGAUAGACACGUGGUAUUUGCGAUUAUGCAAUGUAAUAUCAUAUAAGGAAAAAUUAAAAUAUAUUCUUGUUCCAAACUGCAAGCCAGUUGAAUAAGAGCGGGCUAAUUUGUGUAUCAUUCUAACGUUGUUUUGAUCACAUAUAUGACGCAAAAUCAAUUACUGAUUGAUCAUAGUUAUAUACCACAUGAUCACUUCUAAAUUUUUUUUUUUUUUGAUUAAAUAGGGAUAUAUACCCUAUUUGAUAAAGGGAGUACAAAUUAAAACAGCGAAGCUGCUCAUUGAGCUAGCUUUAGGAAGUAUAUCUGAACCACUAAUAACAAGGGUAAAAACAAUUAAAACGAAGCACACAUAGGACCCCAAAAUGGAUUCCCAGCGCUUUACGACUGAAACAACAAUCGUUCCCAGUUCUUCGUACGUAGAGUGGUGAUUGCUGAAGAUCCGUGAAUUCCGCUCUUAAUUUCCAAAGUUCCCAAUAGGCUCCAACAAAGCAUAGGUCGAAAAGUGCUCUUGCUGCUCCCGACAAUGACUCUUUGCCGUGCGUCCAUCUGGUCGAGACGUCCCCAACUCGGUUGGCCAUUAAUUCAGCAGUGAGUGGGGUGUUAGAAAGGAGCAGAUUCCACAGGGACACUUCUAAAUUUUAGAAAAAAUUUCCUAUAAUGCGUAGAUUUGAGUUUUGAAAUACAACUAAACUAUAAAUAAACCUCAUUUUGUGAUGAAAUUGGGGGAAACCUUUCAACCUUAACUAUGUAACUUAUCUAAGAAAUCCUUAACUGCACUUAUGCUGAUACAAGCAUUUAUCAAUUUUAUAUGGUUAUCAUUUAUUAACUGAAUUUAAUCAGAUUUAUGUAGUUACAAGCGUUAGUGUGUUAUAAUUUAAAGAAUCUGAGAGGCUUGUAAGGGAAGAAGCUUUUUGGGCUGCAGUAUAUAUAAUUGAAGAGCAAUGCUAUCUAUCCAUUUAUAAAUUAGGUGUAAAUUUUACAUCCCAUGCACUAAUUGAAAGGUUUUAUUUUUAAUACAAAAAAUAUAAAAAUCAUAAAUCUUAGAAUAGAUGAGGUGUAAGAUUUAAAUCUGCAUAUAGAUGUAUAGAUAGUGUUUUCUGUAACUGAAUGGUUUCUUAUUCUACUCAGAAUAAUUAUAAAUUAAUCAUUGACCAAUGAUAGAACAUACGAGGCUCAUUUUACUACUGGUAAAUGAAUUUGUUAAAUAUAAAAAUAUUUAAACACCGUUCUCUACCAGUUUAAGUUUUUAAAGAAUAACGGUUAUUUCGUAUUAUUUAAUAGAAUUAUUAAAUAUGAUUAUUAUUUUCUUACUAAUUAAAUACUAUUGAUUGAAUUUUUCAAAAUAUAUAUAUAUAUAUUCUGAACACAAAUUGUCACAAAAAAUGAAGUGCUAGGACAAAGCUUAUAAAAUCGCAUGGCAGUGCUAGGGAUGGAAACAGGACGAAUCAUCUGAAUCUGAGGGUGGAAAAGGUUCUCCUCUUUGGAUGAAUUCGCGACGGAUUGUUUUUUAUUUUUUUUAUCUUUAUUUAUAACUUCAUUCGGAAUCGAUAAGAACCAACGAAUCUUUGGUAAAUUUUUAGCAGAUCGAAAUGAAUCCCGAGAAGAAAGAGUCUCCUAUCUUCUGCUUUAUUUUUUAUGUUCUAUUUUUUGACAGAAUAGGAUGGAUUUUGAACGAGUUAUUCUUUAUUUUUUUGGCGACGAAGCCUGACUAAAUAAGCACUCCACCAUUCCGAAUGCAUUUGCAUCCUUAGUUGACAUGGCUAAAAAAGUACUAGUCAACAUCAAAACAUGGGGCGCGACGUUGGGUUCUCUGGCCAACGUAAAAACAUGUUUUACAUUUGAGCAACUCAAAUUCAACGUGACUUGAUCAACCAUCUCUCUCUCUCUCUCCAAGCAAACAUGCCCUCUCCAUGAACCACUAAUUAAAAUAAAAAAAAUGCUGCGUAUUAUUUUCGAACCCACAUUGGACUAGUUCAUGAUGGAUCAGGAAUUUAAUGAAGCGUUACAAAAAAGAAUUUAAUUAAAGAAAAUUUAUUUGUAGAAAUUAGAUUCUUAUAAUAUAUAAUAUUUUCAUGUUUGGUUUAUCCAAUAAUCUUAUAUAAAUAAUAGUUGUCGCGCGAGAGAGAGGAGGAACAAAUUAAUGUAAAAUAUAAAACAAAGUUUCCUCUACAAAGAGAAGAGUACAAUUACAUAAAAUGAACAUGGCCAAACCCAAUUUUAUUGGGCAGUGGCUUAUUAAUUAUCAUUUUUAUUAAUUACUGAAUAUCAUUUCGAAAGAAUUCACCCGCCCACCCACACAUUUCUUUUUUUAAAAAAAAAACGAAAAUGUCACACAUGAUCAUUUGUUCUUAGUUAACUAAUCUGCAGACCUUUCGAAUCUCCCCCGCCGCACCCGUCAACGGACAAAUGUCCCCCAUCUUCACCAUCGCCGCCGCGAAGUCGGCGUAAAACGCGGCCUGGUUCGCGCUGUAAACCCUCACAAUGUCGUCGGUCGCGCCUCCGUUAAACAGAACCUGGUCCGAGUGCAGGAGCCCCUUCUCCUGCAGCAGAUUCUUGUAGUAGUUGUUGUCGAACGAAUACGGUGUGACCAAAUCGAGCGGGGCGAGGUUGCAGUCGCCGCCCGCGGAAGGGCACCGCCAACGCCGUGUGCUCGCGAACCCCGCGUCGAUGUCGGUGUCAUUGUAGAUGUGGUCACGGAACGAGACACAUCGGGCUAGGCCGAUAGUGUGGGCACCUGCAAUGGAUUUGAUUUUGUUAAUUAUUAAUCAAUAAUUAAGUAGAGAUUGAUUAAGUUUAGGGAACUUAGUAAUUAGUUAAGUACCUGAGAGAGCAACCAUGUCUUUGACACUAAGGCCCUGUCGAGCGAAGAUAGAGACGAGUGCGUCGAGGUCGUUGGUAGCGUUCGGGAGGUUGGCCCGAGCCAAGUCUUUGUUGGCCGUCGUCGAGUCUCGUCUUCCUAGCUUAACCGUCCAUGUCGGACCGCCAACCUGUUACAACAUUUAUGUAUCAAUCAUCAAGUUUAAGUCGUGAUUAUAAGCUCGCGCAUUUUGAUUUUAUCGUCUGUUUGGCCUAACUUCUAAAAUAACUUUAUCAUCUCUUUUUAAAUAGUACUUCAUAGAAUCUUCAGUCGGGUGAUUGAACAAGUACUCGUGAAAAAUACAUGCUAGCUAGCUAGCACUUACAUAUUCAGAAGAGUCUCGUGCGACGACUGCGAGGAUGUCUGCGCACGACACGACCCCCGGGCACACCUCCUCGACCGCAGACUUCACGCUGUCGAUCACUUCGAAGCCCCUCAGCGACUUGAAACUCUGGAACGCAUUCUUCUCGCUCACGAUGUUCGGAGCAUCGUCGAGCAGAAGCGACGCAUCGCAUCCCUAAAACCACACAUGCAUCAUUUCAAACUCAUUAGAAAUCGACCACAAUUUUUCCUUCUAAAAUAGUGUAUAUAUAUUUCGACGCGCGGCUGUAAUACUACUUACUUGGACGAAGCAGUCGUGGAAGUGGAGGCGGAUGAGCGAGGCCGCCAUGCGGCGCUCCUUGGCGAUCGCGGCGCGAACGGCGGCGCGGAUCGUCGAGAGAGCUUGUGGGCAUGCGUAGUCAUAGUAGUUUGGUGUAAGUUGUGCUUCACAAGAGAAAGUGGAGAGCAGCAGCAAUAGAACAGUGGCAGCAAAACAUGUGGUAAUGUGGAAACUACAACCCUUAGAACUCAUUUUUUUAGGGUUCUUUGAGUCUCCAAAUAUGUGUAUAAGAGAGAGAGAAAUAGAGAGAGAGAGAGAGAGAGGUGUUUGUAAAUGUGAGGAUCAGUACUGUGAGAAGGUGUUGCAGUAGAGGAUUGAGUGGAGAAGGAAACACAAAUAGCAAAUUUAUAGAGUGCACAAAAUGUUCAACAAGAAACUUUCAAUAGGACAAAUUAAUUAAGGUUUGUCCCGGUCUCUACCAAACAAAAAUUUAUUUAUUUGUCUCAGUCCUGAGAAAUUAUUGGUCGCACGCGGUUUAUCUUUACGUCUCAUGCGCCACUUUCAAAUAUUUACUACGUGAUAUUUUAAAAUCAAAUUUUAAUUCGAGAAAUGUGAUUGAUCAUCAUAUAUAUCUACUGACCUAUCAGAUAGUCGCAAAAAAUUGAUAGCAUAUAGAAUUUUUUUUUUUUUUUUUUUUUUUGAGAGAUAGAUUACACGCUACUCGCUUUGUUUAUUUCAUUUAAAAAUAAAUUUAGCUAGAAAUGUGGAUCAACUAGGAAUCUAGGAUUUGAUUGCAUAAGAACUAUAUAUCUAUAGUUGUACGUUUUGAUUGUAUAAGAACUAUUUCUAAUAAAUUAAACUAAAUUUGAGAUCUCUGAAAUAGAAUUUUAAAUGUGUAGAUGUACAAAUGCACGGAGAGCAACCAAUAAUUUCUCUUGCUGGUCUGAUAGCGAUAUGAAUUUUAAAAAUCAGGUUGAACAGCAACUCGAAAAUAUUACUGGGUUAUUGGUUCAACCACACUGAUGGAACCAAUAACAUCAAAAUAUUUAUUUUUUUUUUAAUUUUAUUAUAUAUAUAGAAUUAGACUACUAUACUAUUUAUAGUACCGGAGCUCCGAUACUAUAGUGUUGUUUUCGAUCUUAGGGUGCUCAAAUUAACAAUUCAUACCGUUAAAUAUGAUCUAGGGUAUAUCAAGUUCUUAGAAAUAAAAUUUUAGUUUUUUUUCGAUAUUGUUUAUUUAGUAAAUAAAUUAUGUCAAAAUGGACGGUGGAAAUUGAAUAAUCUUUAAAAUUUGAGUAUAGGAUUUUAAAAUUCAAGAUCAAGAAUAUUAACCUUAAUCUAGAUAAUUUAAAAUAUUUUUUUAUCAAAAUUUGAAGAAAUCUAGAUUCUUCUACACCGUUAAACUCCAAACUCGCCAUAAUAGCCAUUAAAAAUUGACAAUUUUGAAAUGGUUUGAUCAUAAAGUAAACUAUAUCGAAAAAAUAUAAAAUUUUAUUUCUAAAAACUUUAAAUACCUUAGAUCAGUUUUAACGGUGUGGAUCGUUGAUUUAAACACCCUAAAAUCGAAAACGAAACUAUAGUACCAAAGCCCCGGUACUAUAUAUAGUAUAGGAGACUAGCUAUAUAUAUAUAUAUAUAUAUAUAUAUAUAUAUAUUAUUGUUCUAAUAUCAAACUAAAUACAAAAUACAAAUUUUCAGACUAAAUUAAGUAAAUGUAAGUUUUCAAGUUUCACUUUUCAUAAUAGAAAAUAAAAUCAUCAAAACCAGUCAUAAGUAAAACUAAUAAGAAAAAAAAGAUAAAAAUCAAAAAAAAAUUAAGCCAAUAUAUUCAGAAGUGGACCGAUUCACUGGUUAAAAGAGAAAGAACUGUUUAAAACUUUGAAACUUCGAAUGACGAAUUGUAAUUCAAUAGAAGUUCAGAUAAUUUGAAAUUUUCUUUUUUUAAAAAAAUUAGAAGUGUUAGUUGGGAGCAAGAACAUUUCUUUUUCAAAUUUUAGAUUUUCAGUAAAGAUUAGUUCCAGUCUUUUUUUUGACGAGGCUCUUCAUUUUGAAUCACACAGCAGCUAAUUGUUCAAAUAGAGUCAUGCACGUGCUGUAAUGGCGUGUGGGAAGUGGUCUUUUAUGUGACAGUUGCAUUAUAUUACUAUAUUUCAAGCCAAUCAACUUUUUUUUUUAAAAAAAAAGUUAUUAAUAUAAAUUAUUUUUUAAAAAUUAUGAUGGAAUGGAUAAACAUCAGGGCAGAAUUUGAUUCAUUCGGGAUAUAGAUGAUGUUGUGCUUCUGAUAUAUAUCAUGUGGAUAUAUUUUAUGUCAGCCGAAGGAAGAGAGAGAUUGAGAAUUAUUUAUUUCAUUUUGUUACUUGAAAGGAAAAGGAUAAUUUAUAUUGGAUAUAAAAAGAAAGAGAACUACGUAAGAAGGCCAGAAAAUUAUACUCCGAGUAUGUUUGUUCUACCAAAAGUGAAGAGGGGUGAACCAACCUUUUACCGUAAAUACAAAUUUUUGUUGUUGGAUUUAUCGUAACUUCACUUUCGAUCUCUUCAAUUUUUAUCAUGUUAACUUUUUACUGAAUUAACAAAUGAAAUUGGAGGGACUGCAGUUCUACAAGUACACAAAGAAACAAUGAAAUGGCUGUGAAUCUAUCAAUUCCUUAUCCUUCCAUGUUUACCUGACCUUCACUUGUACUGUUGUAGAGUCCCCAGAUUUACCUGACCUUCACUUGUACAAAUUCCGCAUUUCUGCUGCUCAUUUCUUUUAAAUUAUUGUAACAAAAUAAGAUAAGCUUAUUAAGUUAGAGAAUUCAAGCCCAUAAUUACCUACCAGAUCUUCUCUUUAUUUCACAUGGCAAUAUUAAUUAAUAUAUUUUUAUUUUUAAUAAAAUUCUUUUAAUCCAAAUCACUCUGAGGUGUUACGACUAACUAAUCAGACCUAAUCCGACCCAUUCUUAACCCAAACCUGGCUUUCCCGUUUACUAAAAGAACCGAAUAUGAGCCACAACUUGAGCUUGAUUUGUUAAACUAGCCGAGUACAAAGCGGCAUAACUCGCUCAAGCUUGGCUUAGAAAUAUCCUGACAUUCCUAUGAAUAUUUUGAAGUGUUAGUGCCUUGUAUGUUUUCUUUGUUUUCUUAAACCUUAGUCAAGCUAUAUGCCACCUGUAAUAAUUAAGACUUGAGCCAACAAUUCGAGGUCGAGCUUAGACUACGAAAACUUUCAGCUACAAUUUGGUAAAGAGCCGAGCUCGAGCUUGGCUCUUUACCAAAUUUCCCACUCGAGCAAGGCUCAAUUACACUUUCGUACAUAUAAUAAUAAUAAUUGGCUAUUUUCAAGAUGUCACUACUUUCGGCAUCUAUUUUUUUACUCAACAAACGACUGCCUACCGCAGCGCAUGAGUACAGUGUAACAAGGCUUUGGAAGAAAUAUUGCAGUAGGAUUGAUAGCCGCACUUACUAAACUUUCAGCUACAUGAUGGCAAUCUAGCUAGAAAAAAUUAGUAUUAUCUUUAAAAGACGAGACUCAAGCGCAGCUCAAGUUUUUCAUCGUAUACAUUCAUUUACACUGGAUUAUUUUAACCUUUCUUCAUCUAUGUUGUCAAGUUCCUACUAUUUUAUGAAUGAAUAAUAGUUUGCUAUUUUAUUCUAAAAAAAUAAUUAGGCAAAUACAUGUCCAAAUUAACAUGGAAAACUCUCUCUCUCUCUAUAUAUAUAUAAUAGAUCUUGUGUGUUAUUAGGAGAACGAAAGCCUCCGUGUUCCUGAGCCGUUUUCGAUAACGAAGCUUUCAAAUCGACAACCGAUUCCGUUAGACGAUCUACUGUAUUUGAAGUGUCUAGAAAAUAAAUUUUACGAAUUUUCGAUCAUUUAUCUAGCUAUCAAAAGGGUUCAAAAUAAACGGCUGAAAAUAAAAAUUUUACAAAAAAUAAUAAUAUAACACUAAAAUUUUCGAUUAGAAAUAUUAAUUUUGAACCCUUUCGAUCGCUAGGUAAAUGAUAUCGAAAAUUCGCAAACUUUAUUUUUUGAAUACUUCAAAUACAAUAGAUCAAAUCUAACGAAGCCGAUCGUUGAUUCGGAAACUCCAUUAUUGAAAACAGCUUAGGAGCACGGAAGACUCCAUGCUUCUAAUAGCACAUAAGGCCUUAGGAGCACGGAGGACUCCGUUCUCCUAAUAGUAUAUAAGGCCUCUAUAUAUAUAUUAUAUAGGAAAGAAAGAGGGCUCAUACAUAUCCCAAAGAGAAACUUUUAUUGAGUGCCAAGCUAAAGCCACAGAGAGAAUUAUCAACCUCAAUGCAACAGAAAAAACAACCACUCGAAUUAAAUUACAUCCGGGAUAUCUGAAGGGGAACCAUAACUUCAGUACUCAUCUCCUCCCUCAGAACAAUCUGGAAGAGAUCAGAGAUACCGUGGAGCAGCGAGAGCCGCCUUCGGCAGUCCUCCGCAGCCGCGAUACCCGAUGAGUAGGCCCCGUGAACAGACCCAGAAUGAUCGACACUGGCGGCCUCCCCGGCAAAGUACAAGUUGUCCACAGGGGCGCAAAACCUUUCAUAUAAGUCGGCUGGCUUUCCUACUAAGUCGCACGAAUAGGACCCAAGCGAGUCUGGGUCCGUCCCCCAGCGCGAGAAUAAGUAUUGAAUCUGCAAUAAAUCAUCAACAUUUUCAAUUUUAUUAAGGAGAACAGCUUCGCAGUAAAAAAUUUGGUAGAAACUUAGCCCCGAAGGUUCAACCCUGAUUUUCAAGCACUUGUCAGAGUUGAUUAAAUAAUUUAUCAUCCGAAGUUUGUCUGCAUAACAAUUAAGUCCAUGUCAGCAUCAUCUGCUGCCAACGUGAAUCUUAACAAUGUCACUGAACUUCUAUAAAUUAUGUAAAGUGGAAUCUUCUCCAAGAUGAUAGACAGGCGGGGCUUAAUUGUUACGCAUGGCGAAUAAUAAGAUCUAGAUUAAUAAUUUGGGAAAUCUAACAAUCAUGAAGAGUAAGGACUUACAGGCUCUGCAGCAUCUGGGAGCAUCUUCCUAAGCUGCGCCAUCACCAACUUAACCGCUUCUUCAUCUGACAACUUUUCUAUAUCGUAUGCGAACCUCCCCGCAGCCAUGUAGACAAGAACAGGGUGGCCUGUCGCCUUGUGAAGAUUGAGGAAAUAGCCACAGGCAUAUGAUGUCGGGGCCACCGUACCUAAGACCUCUACAUUAGGCCAGAAAACAGUACUAAAGCGAAGAGCUAUCUUGUUUUCAUUGCCGACGCCGAGAUCGGAGAUAGCUGAGACUUUCCAUUCUGGUAAUUCGGGUUCAAACUUGAUUGUGUUUGCCUUAAGUACCCCAAGAGGCACGGUAAUUAUAGCAGCAUCGGCGACAAAGGUUGUUCCGUUCUCCACAGUCACUAUAACUCUGUUAUACCUCUGAAUGAUUUUCGCAACCCUAGGAACCAAGAUGAGUGAAGGAUGGUAAGGAUUUGAAUAACAAAGUCUCGAAUGUUCAAGUACUAUGUAGUGUUAAAAGGAGUACUAGAAAGACCUUAACUCUAUAACUUGGAGCAGAAUAAGCAGUUUGUUAUUGCAGAAUAGUUUAAAAAUAGUUGUUGAAGCAGCAGAUAUGUAUUGCAGAAGAAUUUAGAAAUAAUUGUUCACAUUAGAUCCCCUUGAAUAAGCAGUUUGUUAUUGCAGAAUAGUUUAAAAAUAGUUGUUGAAGAAGCAGUUAUGUUAUUGCAGAAUAAUUUAGAAAUAAUUGUUCACAUUAGACCCCCUCGAUUGAUCAAAAGACCAUAAGAUUCAUUGCCAAGUAAACAUCAAGCUAUUUGCACAACCACUCCUAUAAAGGACUACAUGUUUACUUGGGUGAAGCAUGUCAAAUAGCCAAUAAUAAGACUACACGACUACUUUGAGAUAGCAAAUAUUACUAGAUGUCACAGUAAUGUAGAAACAUAACCUAUAUUCAGAGAUAAGGAAGAUACUUGAAAUGACACAAGAUAAUUAUGUUUGUUAAGAGACCCUAGCAUGCCCCUUGAUAGCAAUAGCAUACCUGUGGUUCAAACGGAUAUCAAGGCCUUCUGCAAGUGCUUUUAUAACAGGAUAGUAACCUUGCACCAUUAGUCCAUGACCACCAGUAAGAACAUGCUCCUGCAUAUUUCGAAGAUCAGCAACAAUGCCAAAAAAAUAAAUCACAAGCUAGAGAUUGGUUUUCACAAUUUUUCCUUAGGAUCUUUCAACAGCGACAUUAAAUUAAGCAACACAAUGCUAUAGUUUGUCUAAGCCAUAAAGAGACAAAGUAGCCAACAUACUACCCUGAGGAUAAAAUAUAAAUUCUUAGCGUGAUCACAUUAUAUAAUAAAGUAUGUGAUAGUUUGGUGAGUAUACGUAGUUGGCUAAAGCAUAGAAUCUUUAAUUUAUAUGUAGAAAUUUUUCCAUAAUUUCUUACCUGAUCCCAGUUUUUCAAAGAUAUAGUAUCGACAUCUGCAGCAAACCAUGCCUCCAUUCUGCAAAUGUACCAUUGUAACACUUCAUAUGCCAAACCCUCUUGCCUACACAAUGAAUAGAAUACAUCAGAAAACCCCUAAUAAGAUGAUAUUGAAAGCAUGUUCGUAUUCUAGUUGAGUACAGUGGCUUUAUCCAUACCUUAGAUGUGGAUGCCUCUCAAGAACAAUCGAGAUUGCUUGCUGAAGAGACAUAUCAUUGGCAUGUUCAUCACGCACUUUCACUGUCUGUAAUACUAGAAAGUUUCAGUCUCAUAUCUCCUUCGCAAAGAAGCCAUAGGAUGAAAACACAUAAAUGGACGUAAAUGGUAUACCUCUUUAAGGAUUCUCUCAAACGUUUCCCCAACUUCAAUGACUAGCUGUUGUGAAACUUGAUGUCCAUCCCUACCAAACAAAGCAUAGCUACGCAAACCAUAAAUAUGCAGAUUUGUUAGACCAGAAAUUCAAAUUUGGCAAUCUUGAAGAUUUUUAGUAUAAUACAGAAGAACGAAAUGCCUGCACACAUAAAGCUAAAAUGGAAAGGAGGCAAAUAUCAAAAUAAAUAUGUACCUCUCCAAAUCAUGAUCAUACAAAACAGAGUUGUCACCACUAGUGCGGUAUAAUUUUAGCCCCAGGCAACGGAUCAAUGGUGCCAAAGAAUUUUCAUUGCAUACACCAUGUAACCUGUAUGAAAAAAAGGGGGGGGUCAUAAGACAAAGUUACAUUUCCUUUCAAUAAAAAGACACUAGUACAGAAAUUUCUCGAUAAAAGAUGAUAUUCACCAUGACGCUCCCAUGUCAAUUGGGCAGCCAAAAGAAUAAUCCGUAUGCACACGGCCACCAAGACGAUUCCGUGAUUCUAAUAAAGUGACCUGCCAUUAAAUGAAUGAUAAGUUGACCAAUAAGUGAUACCAAAAGAUUCUUGGGCAUGCCCAAGGUAAUGAAGGAACAACACUUCCGAUUACAAAGCAAUCUAAGGCAGCUUGUAAAUCGUACUAAGAACUAAUUAAAAGAAAAGCAGGUAAAAAGAAGAAGAAAAGGAGAUAAAAGGGAAAGGACAAGAACAGGUAAAAAUUGGUCCAAGUUCCUAGAAAAUUUUUAUGUUGUGCUAGUUUUUACCCUAAAGGAAGCAUUAGACAAUGCGCGCGCAGCAGCAAUUCCUGAAAUCCCUCCACCAAUUACAAUGACUGAAGGUGGAGAAAGCUUUUGCCUCUCAAUUUGCGAAAAAAGACCUGAAACAUGGGGAAAUGCGAAAUAUGAAAAAAAAAAAAAAACCUUCCACCAGUAGCAUGGAAAGCAGAGAAAGGAAAAAAUAUGCCUCAUUGCCUCAAAGACUCAUCCUAAAAAUGAAAAAGCAAAGAAAGAAAAUCAAUAUAAAUGGCUUGGAAGGAAAACGCCACACUUGAAUAAGUACAAACCAUCUUCCUGGUGACACAAAAGAAUUGCAUCAAUAAUGAUAAAAGAAUAAGUCAGUUCAAAGUUCAAACAGAUAAAGCAAUAAUAUGACAGCAGAUGUUCCCAAGUAAGGAUAACUCUGGUAGUAUAUGAAAGAGAAAUUACGUUUAAUUGAUGAUGAUGAUAAAAAAAGGAGCACCCUAACUAAACUUUUUAAUGGAUUAAAUUUCAUAACUACUGGCUCGAUGUUAUCAAAUUUAGCUUCAAAUUUAGCUAUGCAUUUUUAUGAUCCAACUAUAAUCUAAUUAAAUUAAAUAACACACCAACUUAUUACUGGGCGCCUUUCCACUUUAUAAAUUUGCAUUUCUGAUCCUGAAUCUCUAGGAGUUAUAUCUUAUUAUAGACGCAGAACAAAUCAUAGAGACUACCAUUUAAAGGUCGUCAGUUCUAAAUAUACUUUUCUUUUUGAAAUCCAUCUAUAUCAGAGUAAACAAAUGAAUAUAAAACUUUAGAAUAAAGGGGAAAAAUUGUCCAAAUCGAUGUCCUUUGGGCAAGUAGAGUGGAAUUUAAGGAAGUAACAAAUGAAUCACAGGGUUUUAUAUUCUCUGUUCUUUCUUUGAUCUAAUACAAUAAAUCAUAAUUAAUUUCUGUACUUUUCUAAUUGUUUACUUUGACUUGUGACACAUUGCCCGAUGACUAGAAUUAAAAAAAAUUUAAGAUAUUUUUUAGAAUCAGAAAGAAAUAAACAUUUUUCAAUUAAAAUAUAAUCACUUUUACGUUUUUUGUUUUAAAAAAAGAGAAAAAGUAAGAACUAGGAUGGUGACAUCUACCAACCAUAUAAUUCAAAAGAUUUCCUAAUACUUCUAAAUUAAUAGUCAACGUAGCAGAAACAAUCCUAAUCAGUCAAUGUGAAAAGCAAAUAUUUCCAAUCAUUGUCAAAGAAGAAAAAAAAGAGGAGCCUACAUCCCAAUUUAAGUACAAAAUUAAAUCUCGUGCACAGAUUAGACAAAAAGGUCCAAAAAAAACUCAACCGCGCAACUAAUGAUUUAAUUAAAGAACACAAACAGACACAUUAAAGAGAAAAUCUUAAUAUGAGAAAAACAGGAAACGCGCAUCCAAUCGCAAGAAACGCAUCGAAUCAGCAACAAUACAACGACCCUACCAUCAAUUCCCCAUAAGAAACCCAAAAAAUCCCCGAUAUUCGGCACAAAAUCAAACCGAUCAACCUAAAAUCUUACGAAAAAGCCGAGGAAAUCGCACAUACCUCCGAUCGCGAAGCCCUUGGGCUCCAUCGGCGCCGGAUCCAGAGAACCGAGUCCCCCAAUACCCCCGCCCCCUCUCACCGCCUAAGAUUGCAGGGGAUUUAACGAGAGAUUACUACGUAUAGGAAUCGACUGCGAGAGGACGAAGAUCAGCAGGCCGUCCAUGAAGCGGCUUGCUUCGGAGAGGCGACGAAGCUUAUCAAACCAGCUCAUACGUGAAACCCUAGAUGGAGACCCCCAAACCCGCGGUGGACGACGCCACGAGGAAGAGAGAGAAACAAGAGAGAGAGAGAGAGAGAGAGAGAAAUGGAUCUCACACGACUCUUCGCUUCUUCGUGAGGGCGUUGUUGUUCCUCUCUUUCUACGGACGAGGGGAAAAGGGGAACAAACCCCCUCCCCCUAUAUAUAGCCGAGCUCGGUAUGAAAAGACGAAAACGCCCUUCCGUUACCCCUCGGCCUGCGAGUCCGAAAAUACCCUCGGAAUUUGGCGUUAUUACCCGCUUCGCUUGCGGUUCGGUGGGCGUAAUAACGCGGAACUGGAGAGGGUAUUUCCGUCCUUUUGUGAGGGAUGGGGGAUUUUAGGCGGUUGUGAUAUUUUUGAGGGGUAGGAGCGAGGAAACGUCGGAGGGCACGCGGAUGCAAUUAUUACGAGGGCGGGAGAAAGCGCAGAGGGAAUUGUUUUUGACUGAACCAUGAUCAGCCACGUCUUUCGUGGACCAUCUUAUCAAUAUCGAGGACCCGCUAAUGCUAUUGAAUGAGAUGUUGUUAAGCCGAAAGUAUAAUAAAAAAAGAGUUAAUUUUAUACAUAUCUUUUUAAAAACUAGUAAAAUGUACGUACAAAUGCACGUAAUAAUUAUUAGAAAAAUUUAUAUUUUUUUAAAAUAUUUUUUAAUUUUAGGCCAUAUUUUAUAUGAUUGCCAAAUAUGUAUCUAAAAAAUUUAAAAUAAUAAAUCACGCUAUUAAGAAAGAUAUGCUUUAAAUUAUAAAUAAUUAACAAUAAUCUCUAAUGCAAAAAUUACUUUUGAAAUUAAAUAGAAAAAUAAAAUCUGUUAGAAAAUAAAAUUUUGAAAUUAAAUAGAAAAAUAAAAUUCGUUAUCUUAAAAAAAAUAAUAUAUUUUGAAAUUAAAUAGAUAAUAUCUAAAAAAGAUAUUUUAAAAUAAAAUAGAAAAAUAUCUUUUAUAGGAUUUUCACACCCGUAAUCUGUUAUAGAAAACUUACUUUUGAAAUUAAAUAGAAAAUUUUAUAUUUUAGGAUUUUCACAUCAGUAAUCUGUUAUAGAGAACUGACGUAUUCAUUGCUGUUUCUAUUUCUAUUUUUAUUCUUAUAUUUAAAAUUUUUCGUACGGAAAGAGAAAAAUGGGCGCUAAUUUUUUCGCCGAAAAAUGGGUCUGUCGACAGACCCAAAUUUGAAUAUACGUGCUUUUAUAUAUAGUAUAGAUAAUGAACAUAAAUAUAUUUUUAUAAAAUUUAAUUUUUAUAUAUUAUUUUUGUAAAAAUUUUAAUAUAUUUAAAUAUAUAUAUCCCUUUAAUUUGUUACCAUUAUCAAAUUAUUUAUAUUUUUAAUUUUGCCAUCACAAUAUAAGAGAGGUAAAAAUAUUAAAAAUUAACCGACCGUCCCUAGAGCAAGUGGCAAAGGGCUUGGUGGUUGUUACCCGAGAUCCAAGUUCGAAUCCUAGUUGAUUCACAUUUCUAACUAAGUUUAUUUCUAAAUGAAAUAAACAAAGCGAGUAGCGUGCUACCUAUCUCUCAAAAAAAUAAAAAUAAAAACUAACUAGGAUUAAGUGUUUAACCUAUAAUUAACUAAAUAUUUUUUGCGGAUUCUAACGGCAAAGACACAUAUUUGCAGGAAUAAUAUAUAAAAGUUGAAUAUAUUUAUUAUUUACUAUGUUUACAGAAAUCUGUAUAAAAUUAAUCUUAAAAAAAUAUAAAUAUAUUAUUUUUAUAAUCUAAUAGAGUAAAUAUAUAUUAUUAAUGUUUGUUCUCUAACUCAUUUUGAUUCAGAAUUAUAUGGUAGUAUUCAAUACAAAAGGACCUCAAAAUUGAGCCUCCAGUCCUAUUUUUAUGUCGUACAUUAAUAAGAUAAACUCAAAAAUGAAAAAAAUGAAAAAAAAUGUUGAUUUUAAAACUAAAUAAUAUUACAUCUAUUACUAAGAAUAGAUAAAAGUAGAAUUUCAAUUAAGAUUGAUUUGGGUAAGAUGAUAUAGUUUUUGAUACACAGAUUUUAAUUUUUAUCAGCUUUCAAGUAGUAUCUCAUUAGAAUAGACUACUGUUGUGUAUUUAUUUAUUCCAUCAACCAUACUAAGAAUUUGUAAAAAAAAAUUUCGAAUAAUAUUGUUCGUAUAAUUUAAAUUCUACUUCCGUGAGGAAUAAACGGGUGAAAAUCCAUUGAAUGAUGGCAUGGACCUGGUCCAUGCAAUAAUCUACAGGAGAAGUGGACCAUUUUAAAAUGAUAUAAAGUUUGGUCCACGUGGGAAGGAGAUAUUGGACACUUGUCGAGGUGGUAGACAAGAGAAGAGCCACAAGUAAAAACUUUCUUUUUAUAGCUAAUAUUUAUUAUAUUAUUAUUAUUAUUAUUUUAUGAUUUGGAUUAAUGAAUAGGCUAAUAUUUUUCCGGUAAACUUUAAAUAUCACUCAUGUGAUUUCGUAUUUUCUCACUUUUAUCCUAUAAUUUAAAAUGUAAAUCUAGUACUAUAUAGUUUCAGUUUUCUUUUUUCGUCAGCUCUUUCGUUAACAUUCGUUAAAUUAUAUACAAAAAAUUUCAAAUAUCUCACCUACGUUUAUCGAAUAUCCACUUUAGUAUCUUUUAGUUUUAACUUUAUCAUUAAUUUAAUGAAAAAAAUUAGUGGAGAAGAUAAUAAAAAGAAAAAAAUGAAAUCACAGGGUACAAGAUACUAAAAUAAAAAAGUGUGAAACCACAGGAGUGGUAUUUGAAGUUCUCUUCCCUUUUUUUCUUAUAAUUGGAUUUAUGAGUCCUUUGAUUUAGGAUUUAUAAAAUUUUCGAAAUGUUGCAUAUUUAUAUUUAGAAUGACCAAUUUCUUAUGGUACAGAGCUACUAUACUAUUGAAAGUAUAACAGAGGUAGUGCUUUCGACUUUUUGGUUAGUGCUUUCGACUUUUUGGCCCUUGGAUCAAAAAUUGUAAGGUCGGGAUAACAGUGAUCCCUCUUAGGAUUGGAUGGUUCCUUUAGAGUGAUAAUAUUAAUCCAAAUAUAAAAAAUUGUCAAGACAGUUGGGUUAAAAAGUUGGAAACAUGAAUUACUUUAUGCUUCGAAAAGUAUAUAGUUUGAGAAUGCAAAUAAGUAUAUCUCCUAAAAAAAAAACUUCAGUAAGAGUUAGUUUGGUAUUGAGACCUAUCUAAUGUUAUUGGAUAAAAUUGAGUUGUUGAAAAAGCAUAUAGGGAUAUGCUUCUGCGUUCUCCGGUAGGACCGCAGAAAAUAUAUCGUAACCGACUCAUCACGAUAUACGGAACGCAAUAUUACGUACGGCAAUAAAUAUGGUAUUUUUUUAAAAUAUUUUUUCACCGCAAGUAACGCAAUCUCCCUGCAAUCCCAAACAAAGUCUAAAAGUUCUCACUGACUUUUUUUUUUUUUUACUUUUGCAUAAAAAUUAAUAUGUUCUUUUAAUAUACGACUUCUUAAAAACAUAAAUUAAUAUAAUUUUUUUUCUCUUAGUUUAAACCUUUUUGCAAUCCUAAAAGCCAAAUUUUCUAUCCCGAAGGCCUUAAAAAUGUGUGUGUGUUUUUUUUUUCCCCCUUCCAUGUUAUGGCUCCCCUGCAAAUGAUCUACCUUAGCAACUUGUAUAAUAUUUUAUAUUUAUAUAUAUAUAUACAUAUAUAGGAUUAUUAGACUAAUAAUAGGAGCAAGCGCUCUAUGCUAUUAGGUUGUCGAUUCUUGUAUGAUGGGGUGGUGUGCGGUUAAGAUGAUAGUGAUCCCUUCGGGUUGGGUGGGUAGAUGAUUAAAUAGUAUGAUCUAACGGAUGAAAAUAGUCAAAAAGGUAGAUCUAACGGUAAAAAAUUUGAUAACAUCAAACCUUUGGUACUAUCGAUAUCGAUAGUAUAGUAGCCGAACUCUCUCUAUAUAUCUAUAUAGAGUCCGAUUACCAUACUCUUAUGAGUAUUGGUCCCUUUAUACUCAUAAGUUUUUGGCUGUUAGAUCUAGUCCAUUGAUCAUUUUCUUUUGUUCGAUCAUACUAUUCAACCAAUCACCUAGGGAACUGCUAACUUUCUAACCGGGGACCACUAUAAUUCUAACUGCACAUUCCUCAAUCCAACGAUUGAAAAUUUAUGAGUAGAUAUGUAUACAUAGAACUAGGCUGGAAUAAUAGCACCAAUGACUUUGUGCUAUUAAGUUUUCUGCCCUUAGAUUAAAAGAUGUGCGGUUAGGAUGAUGUGGGCCCCCUAGGAUUAAGUGGAUGGUUAGUUGAAUAGUAUAAUUGAAUGGAUGAAAAUGAUAAAAGAGGUAAAUCUAACGGCAGCAAACUUGAUAGCACCAAAUGCUCUGUACUAUCGAUAGUAUCCUCAUUGAAAUAUAUAUAUAUAUAUAUAUAUAUAUAUAUAUAUAUAUAUAUAUAUAUAUUUCAAUGAAUUAGUUGUUUAUAAGAUUUGUUACUACUUUUAUGAAAAGAGUUAAAUUGCAUAUUCAGAAUAAGAUAAGAAAAGAAAUAUCAGCAUUUAUAUAUACCAACAAAUAAAUUCAUUAAAUCCACUCGAUAUUUAUUUAAUGAACUUAAUCUGAUCAUCUAUUCCUUGCUAGUCAGAAAUUGCUCAAACUUAUUUGAAAAGAGUGAAUCCAGGAAACAUCUACAUACAAGCCUAAUAGACCAAGUGCGAGGUUCUGGGCCCCCACUUCUGAUUCUGCUUUCAGCAAAAGCCAUCUAAUUAUACAAAACUUUUGACAAACCAAAAGUUUGGUACUUCUACUACAAAGAAAAUUAGGAAAAAGAUAUUAAACUCUUUGAACGAUGCUUUAUCUAACAGUACUACACUCUAAAGUUGGGUCGGAAUAAGCCCUAACCCUAUGGUCCAACCACAUGUGACCUAACACUAAGCUUGUGAUUUGAUUCAUAAUUCCUACUUUGUCUCAUCACAUGGUUUUUUUGUCCUCAAAUGUACCUGCCUUAAUAGUAGUUGGCAUUUGCAUACAUUGAAGCUAUAUAAUUACACUUCAUAUUAUAUUAUAUGAUGAUACCCCACCUUAAUGAUGCUACGUAUUUUAAGCCCUACUAGAUUUGGUGGUUUCUACUAUUUUAGUGAUCAUAGUGUUUGCUUGUCGAAGUAUGAUGCCAUUUGAUAAGAUUAGAUUAGAUUUUAUAUAUAUUUUUUAGGUUUUUUUUUUGCUUCUCCAAGUUUGACUAUGGUGUCAAUUGGUCUCCCUGUGAGUUUUAAUUAAAUAAAAACGUGUUACUUGGUGUUGUUCUCUUCUUCUUUUUUUCUUUUUCUAUUUUGUAGUUUUUGGCAUGUUUGCUUAUCUUAAUUGCUUGAGUACUUAAUUAUUUUUGUGUUUUAAUGGAAGGUAGUUGGAAAUUUAUCAUAGCUUGUAUUUUGGCCUUUCAGAAAAAAAAACCCGUUAACCUAACCGAACCAAAUAUGGAUAUUGUUAUAUAUUUUGAAUACAAGCAUGAAUCCAUAAUAAGAAAAUAAUCCUAUAGCAGUUUUCACUCGUAUUAGUUUGUUUGAUUUGAUUUGACUUUUCAAUAGAACAUUAUUUUUAAUUAUUAAAAUGUCAGUGUAAAACAUUUGUGGUUUUAAUGUUAAUAUUUUAUAAUAUUGUAUUCUGUAUAUAUACAUAAUUAGAUUUGAAGGAUUAUGGUAAUAAUAGUUUAAUUUCACUUUGCGCUAAAAUUGAAUAACCGAUAUUCCAAACCGAUUUAAAACAAUUUAAAAUCAAAAUCAAAAAAUUAAUAUUAAUUCUUAAACAGAUAUUGGUAACCGCACGGCGAACACACCCACCCGGCUGUGCCUAGAAUUAAAUUAUAAUCGUUAUUUAAGCAUAUUUUUUAGGAACAUUAAUUAUUGCAUAAAGUUAAUUAAACACAAGAAUAAUUUAUAUAAAAAAGGAAAUAUUAUUUUGACUUUUCACUUACUAAAGUCCAAGCUAAUCGUAUAGCUUGGACUUUUCUAAGUGAAAAGUCAAAAUAAUCUUUUCUUCUUUUUUUUUUUAACAAAUUAUUCUUAUGUUUAUACAAUAGUUUAUGUUCCUGAAUUGUAUAGUUCAUGCGUAGAUCACAUUAUUAUUAUUUGGUAAAAAAGUAUAAAACUUAUCACAACUAUCAAUCAUUUUGAUUUAACUAUCUAAUUUUUAAAAAAUUUUGAUUUUACUAUUUAAUCUUUUAAUUUAUUUGAUUUGAGCCAACUAAUAAUUUCUUAAUUUUAAAUUUUGAAUAUGUUGAUUAUCUUUAUGAAUUUAAUUAAUAUGUUUUGUGAAAUUCAUGUAACUAUAAAUUCAUUAAAGCAAGCAAUUAACUUAAAUUAAUAAAAUCAGACAAAUUGAAAAAUUGAGUACAAAAAUCAAAAUUUUAAAGAUUAGUCUAUAGUUUACAUAAGUUUUAUACAUUUUUACCUUAUUAUUAGAAAGACAUUUCCAUCCCAAAACGCCCUCAAAUUGGGCAAAUUGUAAGCAAAUUAUAAUUUGCUUAUAAACGAAACUGAGUUUUCAACAACCUAAUGUCGAAAUGUGACUGUUUUGAGAUAUUAAAUGCUCGUUUGGCAUUAAGGUCUAUUUGGCUGGCAUUAACAAAUCGGAGUUAGGGCGAAAGCAUAGAAAAAUAUACUCCUUUUUUUUUUUUUGUGAUGGGAUCGCAAAAAAUAUAUCUUAUUGCGAUAUGUAAAACAUAAUAUUAAAUAUGAAAAUAGAUAAAAUAUUUUUUUAACACAAGUUUUCACUGACCGACUGUUCCUAGAGCAAGUGAUAAAGGGCUUGAUGGUUGGUAUCCGAAACCUAAAUUCGAAUCCUAGUUGAUUCGUAUUUUUCUAGCUAAAUUUAUUUCUAAAUAACAAAAACGAAACGGGUAACGUACCACCUAUCUCGCAAAAAAAAAAAAAAAAAAAAAAAAAAUUUCUCACUACAGUACUACAAUCUUUUCACAAUUUCAAACGAAGUCUAACUAAUGAGAUAAGUCUAAUAAAAAGGAUUAUAAUUCUUAGAUAAAGAUAAAAGUGACACGUGACUAUGAAUUGAGACUCCCCAAUGAGUCGUCUGAGAACUUCCCACUUAAAAUUUGUCCCACUAAUUAUGCUAAGUUGCCUGCUUAGUUUGUUUUGUUUCAGAACAAGGCCCCCAGAUCUCAAUGCCAAAUUCCUCACCUAAACUAGUCACAGAUUUUUUUAUUUUAAUUUUUUUUUUUUGGUUCAGAAAGUCGUAGAACGAAAUUAACAGGGGAUCGAAUUUCUGACCUUUUUCAACUUUUGGCACCUUGGGUACGAUGGUAGUUGUUAGUUGGCCAUCAAUCUCAGUCAUGAUCUCUCUCCAACCUGUUGCAUGUGUCGUGUAGGAGGAGGAGAGGAAUAUUCUCGUGAGAGGAGAUGAGCAUGUUGGAGAUGGAAUCGAGCUAUUACGCGUGAUACACUAUUUAAUAAAUCUAUCUUAAAAGUUACAAAAUUUUGCCUUUUUCUUUUCUCUCAUUAAUCUUUAGAAUGACAUAUUAAUUGCUCUUUAGAAUGACAUAUUAAUUGCUUAAAAUAGCUUUUCAAAAUUAUAAAUUUUUUAUUCUAAUAUUAUUUAGAAUUUUGUUCAUUGGAAAAAAAAAAAAAAAUUCACUAGUGACCUGUACUGUAGUGCAAUCUAAUCAAUAAAAAUAAGAGUUGAAGAAAUUAUCUAGAAGUUUUAUUUUUUAAAAAAAUAGAGAAAGCUCGUAGCGAACGGGAUCUUAGGUUUUAACUUAUGAGGUUACGAUUUACAUACCGAUAUUAUGCGAUUGUGCUGAGAAUAAACCGAAGUAUCAGCAUUCUAGUGUGUAACUGCGACGCACAACAGUUGGGUUCCAGAGUAAUGGAUUCGAGUACCGCAUGAGAGGAUUCUGAAAAGGAUUGUAGGAAAUCAAACUCGCAAUUCUUAAAAAAAGAAAAAAGAAAUUAAUUGUUGAGAUUCUUACAAUCAUCUAUCCAAUUUUUGUUAAAAAAGCAGAACCAAACAAGAAGCCAUAUGUUUAGAUCUCACGCGAAACAACGCACAUUGUGGGCCUCCAAUUGGUCCCAACAAAGCACAUAUGAUGCAGGGCUCGUAACACCUAUUAGUUGAGCCCUCACUCGUCAGAGAAAAAAUAAAAAAAAUAAAAAGAAGAAAGAUCCAACAACUAAGAUUGAUAUUUAGAGCAAUAAGUUUAAAGGCUUUCCGAAAUUUCCCUCUGAAAAAAACAGUACUCAAAUAAAACCCAGUACCUCAAGCAAACUUAAUACAACAAAGCUAGCAUCCGCGACACAAAAUACUAAACACCAAAAUUCUGAAAGGUUCUCUGGAAAAACAAGCAGGAUAGGUGGAGACACAAACAGUUCUAUAAGGCCGAGUGUUUCAGAUACAUUUACAAUAACAAGGACAGUAGUGAUACAUUAGAAGGAGACCUUAAUUCCAAGCAGAGCCAUGAGAUGCGAAACGAACUCGGGGUGCCCUGGCCAAGCCGCGCCUGUAACCAGAUUGCCGUCGGUGAAGCAACGGCUGAUGGGGUCGGGUUCCAACCAUGUCGCUCCGGCCAACACCACAUUGAGCUUCACAGCGGGGUAUGCAGUGCACUUCUUUCCCUAUUAUCGCAUGUACGGUGAUCAUCAAAAUUUGUACAUUGUUUCGUAUGAAAUACUAAGAUGAAAAACAAACUAUUCAAAUGACAGCUGAAGGUCAGGUAGAAAAAGUAGAAACAGGAUGCUGUUUAAAUACUGUAGACAAGAAAUGAGAAUUUUAAAGUAUAAUGAUGGAUUUAGUAAAAAAUUCAGGCAGAAAAACUGAAAAGUAAUCUGGUUUUUCUGUGCUAUAACAAUGUGCCCUACUCAGUAUUUUAUCGCCAUUUUAGAUGCAAAAAGAGAAAAACAGAGAAUAAUAAUACGUACCUUCAAAACUCCAGCAGCCGCCAAGAUCUGCUGCCCAUGGCAAAUUGAUGCAACCGGCUUUCCUUGACCCAUGAAUUCUUUCACCAGCGCAAUGACCUUCUCGUUCAAUGCAAGGUACUCGGGGGCUCGCCCUCCCGGGAUAACUAGUGCAUCAUAGCUUGAGGCAUCUAAGCCAUCAAAGGAUGCAGUCAACGUGAAAUCAUGGCCCGGCUUUUCACUAUAGGUCUGGUCGCCUUCGAAGUCGUGAACAGCAGUCGGACACUUGUCGCCUGCUCCUUUAUUGGGGCAUACUGCAUCAACAUGGCAGCCCAGAGCUUGCAGAGACUGGAAUGGUACCAUCACCUCAUAAUCCUCCAUGUAAUCCUGCCAUAUUUGUAUAAAUCCAGAAUAAACCAUGCCAUUAUAACAUUAUAUCUCUAGAACAAUUGAACAAAUUAACCGUACAAUAUAAAUUAAUAUACAACUUGUUCGGUCUCCAACUUUCAAUAAGAACAAAUAGUGCCCUUAUCAUUUGUUCUUUCCUUUUUUUCUUUUCUAAUAUUACAAAAAGAUUAUCACAAUAUAUGCUUUUCAAAACCUUUCAAAGAAUUUGUUAACUCUGAAUACUUCUAGGAAGAGUCACUUAGAGAAGUUAGCAUACAGGACUAUUACAUUAAUCAGGUUUCCUAUAAUUGACACAUUGACAGGAAAGGCUACAAAUCAGUUUCUCUCCUUGGUAGUCACAGAACUGUUUUAAGUCAAAUUAAAUAUUGUGGGCUGCCCUUCUGAUGGUUUAUAGCUGACUGUUUUAAACUUAUUAUCAAUUAUAGAAGUACUACAUAUUUUGUAAAAGAUUUAACACAGAAAGUGUAUAUUCUAACUCAUACAUAAUUCAUACACAUAAAAACAUUAACCCAAGCAGAUUAAGGCCCUGUUUGGAUGUCGAAAUAGAUUAUCCAGUGAUAUCCUAUUCAAUCUGAGGUUUCUUACUGUGGUUAGAAGCUGAGAGUAUGGUCAAAUGUCUAGAAUGGUACAGUAUGUUCGGCUUUCAAAUUAUUUUUUCAGAAUAAGAUAAAUCACCUCGUAGAUGAAAAAUGCUAUCCUACAAACUCGUAAAUGUCAAGACCUUUCAAUGAGCAAAAAUCAAACUCCUACCUUCCGAAGUUUCAAUUACACAAGAAAAUCUUCACAUCGAAUAACUUAUUCCGACAUCCAAACACAGCCUAAAACUACUUGGCUAAUGGCAACAGACAGCUCUAAUUUAAGUAACAAGCAAAAUAAAAUUUAAUAUACAACAAUUUCUAUAAAGCUAAACAGUUUCCUACUACUAUAAGACAGUCAGCCAAACAUUACUUAAGCAAAUGUUAACAAGACAGAUAGAUAUAAGUGCGAGGAAUGCACCAAAAAGGGUGGGGAAAAAAAAACUUUCGAAGAGAUAAGCAUGCAUGGCACAAGUUUCAGAUAUAAGAUAUUGCACAUACCCCACAGAGGAACAAAACCCUUUUAUUCGAGCCUGCUAUGGUGCCACCAAGUGCUUUCACGAAAAGGUUGAUAAAUUCAGGAUGCCCUUCGUAUGUUGCUCCUGUAAUUAAAUUCCCAUCGGUGACACACUUUGCCAUUGUAUCAGCUUCUACCCAGUGAGAACCUGCAUCAAUCAGAACUGGCUUUACAGGUGGAUAAGCUGUACAUUUUCGGUUUGUCACAACUCCUGCUGCUGCCAAAAUAAGCUGUCCAUGGCAAAUAGAUGCAAUAGGCUUCCUUGAUUCAGAAAAUUUCCGCACAAUGUUUAACAACGGUUCAUUCAUUGCAAGAUACUCCGGUGCACGUCCUCCGGGGAUUACGAGCCCAUCAUACGUGCUCACGUCAAUCUCAUCAAAUGUUGCAUUCAGCGUGAAGUUGUGACCCCUUGAUUCAGAAUAUGUCUGAAAUGAAUGAGAAAGGAGUGUUCAUGGAGUGAGAACUGAGAGCCAAAGAAGUCUUGAAACAUGACAAAACGGACAAAAAUGGGCUUCAAAAAUUGAGAAAAUUCAUAAUAAUAUCAUUGAAGGCAGUUGGUUAGCUGUAUAAUCAAUGAACCACUUACAAAGUAAUCAAUGGACCAGUUAUAAAACCUCCCAAAAUUUACAAACUUCUUAUUCUUAUUAUAGAAAAAAAAAAAAGUUUCAAGUGCAAGCUGACAGUUCUCGCCAUAGUCACGGAAUCCUUCGAUUUUCUUUCUCUCUCUUUUUUUUUUUGGUUUUUUUACACAUAGUACUCCAUUCAUUAGCUUCUACGUUUGUACUACCUUUUUUUUUACUUUAUUAUUUAUUGCUCCAACUCAUGGGAAAGGUACAUGUAGUUAAUAUCAUGUGCCAUGCAUGGUAGGAUAUCGUAGGAAAAAUAAAAUGAAAGAUCACCAACUACUAUCUUUUUUAUUCAUUCAACAAGCUCCAUUAAUAAAUGGUGCACAUUUUCAUGCAUUAAUCCAAUUUUAUAUAUAUAUAUAUAUAUAUAUAUAUAUAUAUUGGGGUGUUAUGUACUUGUCUCUAUUUCUUAGUGAUCAUGUUUUUCGAUGACCCCCUAACUUAGUGAUUUUAAAAUAGGUUUUAUUGGCUAAAUAAGAUAAUUAUAUUAAUCAAAUGUGCUAAAAUCAUUUAACUAGACUAGAUAGAACUAAUUAAUUUAAAAAACACAAUAAAGAGGAUCUUGAAAAGGAAAAAUAAAGUACGUUGAGGGGAUCACUCAAAGUGGGCUAUAGUUGAGGGGAUCUUCAUACACUUUUUUUUAUUUUUUUUAAAAAAAACUCAUUUUGUUUAUUAAUAAGUUGAGUCAUUAGCAUUACUGCCACGUCUAAGUAUUUGUAGAAUAUUUAUAGAAGUGCUUUUAAGAACUUUUUCUAUAGUCAAAGUAGAUAUCUUAUUUGAAGGGUAAAAAGGAUUUUUGUAUUAAAAAAAUAAAUAUAUCAGUCAAUACAACGAUCAAUUAAUUUUGGGGAUCCUAGCGGAGAUAGGGACGAGAAAUUUUUUCUUUUUUUGUUGGCGGGGCCUGAAAAUCCUAAAUAUUUACAGGAACAUGGACGGAGACGGAGAAGCACCCCUCUGCUCCUAUAUAUAUUCGAGGCGUCCUUACAUAGUUUUUUUAUCUUACAAUUUUUUCAAUUAGUAGAGUCAAUUAUAAACACUAAUUUUUUGAUUUGUUGUAACUUCUAACCUCAAAACUGAGCCAAUUAUAAAACAUCCACGUCAACUAUUUGUGGACUGUUUAUAAAUUGUUUCUUUAGUCAAAAGUCCAAUAGAUGUUUUAGUUGAGGGGUGAGAGGGAUUUUGUUGAAUUAUUAAAAAAAAAAAACAAAAUAUAUCACAACUAUGUCAAUGUUGCAUCUAUUAAACAAAACACUUCAAUGAAAUGCCAAAAUAAGACUAAAAAGCAUGCAUUGACUUUAUAUAAUUAGGCUACAGCCUCAUCAACAUCAUACAAACGAUUUAUCAUCAAGUUUACAAUGAGACUAGAGGAUCAAUUACAUGUUCCCUAUUCGUUUCACAUGAAAACUCAUUCAUAUGAUGAGGCCAAAAAUUUCAAAUUUCCCACUAUCAUGCGUUGCAUCUUGAAAUUGAGUCAUAAAUCAUAACACAUCCUCCUCAAGACACCAUCUUAACCAAUUUGCACAAAAGUCAAAUAUUAAUUACAUCCGCCUACAAACUAAUUGUAGCGACACUAGUCAUUUAUAAUCACAUAACCACUAUCAUGUCAAGUCAACUCAAUCAACUAAGCAUGAAAAUCGAAGGAAUCGCCUUUUUUUUUAUUUCCCGUGAUCAAAUUUUCAUCUUUCUACACUAUCAACAAUUGAAUAACCAAAAUAUUACCAAAAUAUGAUUCAAAGCAGCAAAUUUCAGGGGGGAAAAAAAAAACCCAAAUCCGCUUACCUGAUGCCCUAAUCCCUGAUGUACGGCGGUUCGGCAAAUCUCCCCGGCCUUCUUUCCGGGACACACGGCGUCCACCGCGAUUCCGUACGCUUGCAACGCUUGGAACGGAACCAUAAUCUACGGAUCAUCAAAGAAAAAAAAAAAAAUGAAACUACUAGAUUAAGCUCGAUUCAUGCGUAUAGGAGCCCGAUUCAUGCGAAGGAUCACUAUUUUGAACGAACUACGAAGCGAAUUAGGGAUUCGAAGUGGGGAAGAGGAGGAGAUUGACCUCGUAAUCCUCCACGUAGUCUCCGCAGAAGAUCAAAGCCCUCUUCUGAGCUCCAGCUUUCGCCAUUUUCGCCCACUCCAAGCUCUCGCUCUCUCUCUCUCUCUCUCAGUUUCGGACGAGUAGACCACGAAACUGCGGCUCGGCUCAAUAUAUAGGGCGAAGAAGAAGGAAUGGAAAAUGUAACGAGCCCCCUCAACUAUAGAUUAAUUCGCAAUGGGCGCGUUAACUUUAUUUAAUUUGUUGGUAAUUUUAUAAACUUUUAUAGUUUCAAUCGUUAUAAUUUUAUUUUACUACUUAAAGUUCAUAAAAAUAAUUAAAAUUAAGCCCACAUUUUUUUUAAUUUAAUAAAAAUUAUAAAGAGCUCCUCUCAAAUAACGUUAUAGUCGAGGGGUCUUCCUACAUUACUACUAGUAAGGACCGUGCCACAAAUACUCUUGUGGGCCCAUGCGGCACAUGGACACGUGUCGAUAAUCUGGUGGGUUGUGUUGUGUCCGGUGUUUUACAGAAAGGAGAUGAUCCAUUCGAUUUCGUGGUGUUCGAAGUAUCUCGAGAUGGUGCUCGGUGGACCGCUGGAGCGGUGGAGCGAGCAUAAGAUAAUGCCACGUGGCACGUCAAUGAUGCAAUUAGAUAAGCCUCACGUACUUGGCGAGGGAGGCUUUUUCGUUUUUUUUUGAAGGUGCAGAAAUAAAGGAGGAGUUUUAAAUUUCGUGCGCGCAAGCGCGGUGGGUAAGAUCGGACGGUUGUGAUCGCUCGAUUUGGAGUUGAUCCGCCGGCCACGUUUUGUGAUGCAGCUCUCAUGUGAUACUGUUGAUUUUUUUUUCUCUCACAAUAUCAAUUUUUCAACAAAAAAAAAUUUAUUUUAUUAUAUUUUUAGAGCCUUUUUUUGUGCAGUUGUAAACACGAUACAAUUCAUUGAAAAAUACUUUAAUUGGUACGAGCAAGAAAUAGGCGAAUUCGGCAAAUCCAAAAGAGACUCGAGUUUUUGGUGCGAUCGCUCGAGAAUUGAGACCAUCUUAGAUCUCGCAUUGAAGGAUUUGAAUCAAGAUUUCCAAAUGAAUAGGAUUGGAUAGGAUAUUAGUAUAUAUCAAUACAUGUAGUUUCACUUACAGAUGUCACGUUCGCAAUUGUCUGCUUUUGUGUGUCCAGCUACAGCAGUUAGAUGCUAACGCUGCAAUCUUAAAAAAAAAAUAAUUUACUGUACAUAGUUAGAUCUAUAAUAAAAUAACAACUGUGUGCAACCAAAUAGAGCAUAUCUAUAUAAAUAUGGAAUCGAGAGUAUGUACGGUGGGCUCCCCGCGUUUUGCGGGGGACUCGCGAGAGAGAGAGAGAGAGGGAGAGAGAGAGAACAGAGGGAGGAGGGAGAGAGAGCAUACAGAGAGAGGGGGAGAGAGAGAGAGAACAGAGGGAGAGAGAGAGAGAGCAGAGUAGAAGGGAGAGAGAGAGAGAGAGCCAGGAAGAGAGGAAGAGAGAAAGGAAAAGAAAGAGAGAGAGGGGGGAGGGCCUACGUGCAGGCGACCCGCGCCCGCAGCACGCGCGAGAGAGAGAGGGAGAGAGGGGGAAGAGAGAGAGAGAGAGAGAGUGAGCAGAGAGAGAGAGAGAGAGCAGACAGUGUCUCUCUCUCCCUCUCUCAGCGCGCGCAGGGGGUGCGGGCCGCCCGCACAUGGCAGGCCCCACCCCCUGGUUCUCUCUCUCACUCUCUCUCCCUCUCUCCACACCCAGCCCCCCCUUCUCUCUCCCUCUCCCCCUCUCUCUCUCCCCACCUCCUCCCCCCUCCCGCGGCUCUCUCUCCCCCCUUCUCUCUCUCCCCCACGUGCGCGCGACCCGCGCCCAACGGGUGCGGGCGGGGCGCGGGCCGCGGUGGGGAGGUGCGGGCGACCCGCACCCCCCGCGCGCGCGCGAGCUCUCCCCCCCCCUCCUUUUAUACCUCUCCCUCCCCCCAGACUCUCUCCCACUCUCCCACCCCUCUCCCCUUCUUUUCCUUCCUCCCGCUCUCUGCUCUCUCUCCCCGUUCCCAUAGAGCGGGCGGGAGAGUCGGAGCGAGCGCGGAGCGGCGGGCGACGGCGGGAGACGGGGCGCUGCGGCGGCUGCUGGGCGCGCGCGGGGCGAGGGAUGGGCACCGGGGCGGCGGGACCGAGCGGAGGGCGGCUACGGGGCGCGGGCGGCUCGCGAGCGCGCGGGCGGGUGUGGGGGCCACGAGCGUGGCCGUUCGCACGCGAACGGGGGAAAGAGAGAGAGAAACAGAGAAGCAGAAGAGGGAGAUAGUCGAGCGGGAGAGAGAGAGAGAGAGAGAGAGAGAGCAGAGGAGGAGAGGGAAGUAUAUAUAUAUAUAUAUUAUAUAUAUAUAUAUAUAUAUAUAUUAAAUUUUAUUUAAAUAUAUAUUUAUUAUUAUAUAUAUAUAAUUUUAUUUAUAUAUAUAUAUAUAUUAUAUAAUUUUAUUUGUAAAUAAUAUUAUUUGUUUAUUAUAUAUAAUUUUAUUUAUAAAUAUAUAUUUAUUUAUUAUAUAUAGUUUUUUAUUUAUAUAUAUAUAUUAUUAUAUAAUAAUUUAUUAUAUAAUUUACUAUUUAUUUUUUUUAAAUACUUCUUUUCCUCCCUCUUUUCUUUUUUUUUUAUAUUAUCUUUUUCUUUACCCUUUUUCCCCCUUUUCCUCCCCUGUUCUAAAUUUUUUUUAUUUGUAUAAUUACGGAUCAUGUACAAAAAAAUAAAAAUUAAAUUUAAAAUUUAAAAUUUAAUUUUUUAUAUAAAUUUUUCGCAGCGUAGCGCGGGCCUUCACUAGUAAUGCAUGAUAGAGAGGUGUUCUUAAGGUUCCAUAAUCGCAGGCAAUAAAAUGAGAAGGAUAAAUUCUAAUGGAGGCCCUUAGUUCUCGGCAAAAGCCCACAUAACGAACGGACGCUUGCAUAAUUCGGCCCAGUAACUAGAGUCCAAGGCAUAUUCACCAAAUGGGUCGCCCGAGCCUGCAAAAGUAAUUAGAAUCUAUUUGUUUCGUGGAAGUGGAGAAAGGUGAAACUAUUUUUAGCCGUAAACAAAACAAUAUAAAAUCAAUUAUGAUGAAGAAAGAUAAAAAAUAAAAUAAAUUAAAAUAAUACAAUGGGUUACAUUUAUCAAGUUAUUCAUUAUUUACGUAUUAUUUAUAGCUUGUACACCAUUUACUUCCUGCCAAACAAACAGCGGAAUUAAAAAAACUUACACUUUCGUAGCUUCAAAAAUAAACAACGAAAAAGAAAUAAUUUUCAACUAAACUCUGUUUGAAUCCAAAAUUCAACUUGUUGUGAAACAAACGUACCCUUAAUGAAAUGGAUGACACAAGAAAAACAGAAUGCAUAUAGUCAAACAAUCAGACCACGGCAAGACACCAUCCACUGCCGCGGGCAACAGCCGGCACAGAACACCGGAGCAUGACACUGCAGAGCCAGUAAGACCAAACCUACAAACAGGAAAACUGUCAAGUCGAAGACCGUCGACCAACACUACUCGCAAGCAUGCCGAGAAACAGCUCACAUCCCAACGAGGCCUUCACGGCAAUCGCCGCAAUGACCGAAGAGCAACCAGGUAGGCAGCAAUGUAGCAUGCUGAGAACAAAGGCUGGGACAUCGGCAAAACAAGACGACACCCAAGAAGAGAACAUGUCAUGCAGAGAAAAACGAAGAAGAAACAAAAUUGGUGAAGUCAAAUAUGCCCUAAUCAGGCUGAUUCAUUAUCUUAUCCAUUUUCUGCGUAAAUAGACAAAGUAAAUCAUCUCGCGACGAGUCAGGAAACAAAUAGAACACAUGCUUCAAGGGCACAAGGAUCAAAAAUUGAACAAAGCCCACAAAUCCUCAUGCACCAAGUUUAAAAUUAUGACCCUCCCCAUUUCAUAUCUAACCUACUUCUAUCAGCCUCAUAUAAGAAACAGGUUUUGGCACUAUUAACUUUUAAAAAAACCAUAAUGCGCCACAGAAAUUCUCGAGGCCUUUUACUUAAAGCAAAACAACCGCAAGCAAUAACAUUCCCUUCCGCUCUCCCACUAAAACUAGACUUCAAGAGAACAUGACCCCGACUUUCCGCGCAAAGUCAUCCUCAUCAUCCAAAUCAUCAUCGUCCUCCGGAUAAGCAUUCUCCUCUACUUUAUAAUCACCGCCCUCCAUUGCCUCGUAAUCAGACUCUCCAUCCCUCUGAUCAUAAUUCUCCAGCUCUUGAUCCUCUAUAGCAUCAACACCAUCUUCAGCUUCAACCAUAUCUCCUUUUGCUGAAGAUUUGCCAUCAUAAUUUAUAUCCUCGCCAUCUGAAGGGAUCAGACCUUCUUCUUCCUCUUCUUCGACCGUUCCAACCUUGUGCACUUCAAGGGUACUGCCCAUUUCUUGCUCACCACCUUUUUCGUGUGUCCCAGCAUCUCGUUCAACGUCUUCUUUUCUGACACCAGACGAUUCACCAUUACCCAAUGCUGCCUCUCUUUUCCUUUUCAGGAUGACACUAAGUGGUUUUGGACCUUCAAAACCAAGGGAACCUACAGGUUCUCGAAGUUGCUCUUUAGAAGCAGAAGUCGUACCCUUUGCCGGCUGCUCUUGGGAGCUCUCGACGGCCUUCCCACCUUUCAGCUCUGCGAGACUUUUCGGACCAGGAAAGUUCACUGACUGCACUUCAUCUCUUUUACCUAGCCUGCCCCCAAGGUUCCUACCGUCAGUGGUGAAUUCCUCACUUAUUUUCCUCGUUCUUUCCUGAUGCCUACUGUGAAGGUCUACCGGCCGAACUGGAGAGACUCUACCUCGAGGUCUUCCUCUAUCUCUCUCUUUGAGAUCAGCUCUAUCUGGUGAAGAUCUCCUAGGAAGUCUUAUUCUACCUUGGAGGCGGGUGCUUAUUGAGCUCUCACGCUGAGGGUGGUCAUGGUUUCUGCGAGAAUGAUGGUCCCGCCUUCUCUCCCCUGGAUACUGUUUUUCCCUUCGGUAGUGCUCACCACGGCCAUCGGGACUAAGAGCUGAUCUCGAACCAUUAAGUCUUCUCUGCUUUGUAAGCCGAUGGCGCAAAUCCGACCCACCAAUCUCCUCACGGUCAGCCUCUCUGUGCAAAAGCCUUCUUUCACGGACAGACAAUCUCUCGGGUGAAGCCCUAAAACGAUCCAGCUCGUAGUUGCCGUGUGCCCGUCCAAGCCGAUCGUACAUUGCCAUUUCGUUGUAUCGAUCUCUUUCAUCUUUGACCGCGAGUUCAUAUUCACUUCGAUGGUAGUCGUAAUCAUCAAUAGGGUUAACCAACGGUCCUGCAAAAUUGUCUUCAUUGUGUAAAUAACCAGAAUCUUCAUCUUCAUUGUCCACAAGAACAUCAAAGCCCGGAGAAGACUCCCCCAAGAACUCAUCAGCAUCCCUAUUACCAUUCUGGGCCCGGUCAUCCAAAUGCUGAACUUGGUGACUUCGGCUCCUCCUCUGCUGCACAUACCCCUUGCCAGCAGCAAGAUAAUUGUGAUCGAAUUCAGGAAGAUCAUCAUCUGGCAAAUAAGGCGGCAAACUUUUCUUUACAGGCUGUACAUUAUGUGAUGCACCCUCAGCCUUGAUAAAAGCUUUUGCAGAAGUUGGCGGUGCUACGGCGGGCUCUUCAACAUUGACUUUUGGCUUAUCAACAUGUACAGCCGGCUUAUCAAUAUUGGCUUUUGGUUUAUCGGCACUUGUUAUAGCUGCACUCUGCUGAGUAGGUACAUUUUGCUGUUGACACUCCUUGAUACCCCAUGAAUCCUUCUUCUGGGACUGAGGUGGCUCAGUAGAAGCUAUCGGAACCUUGGCCGACUGCUGAGGAUUAGGGUUUGCAGCAGCCUGAGGCCCAUGCAUAAACAGGCAUUUGUCACCCUUCAUGCAGUUACCCUUCUGAAAAUAGUAGCAUGGAACACUCUGCUUGUUCGUGUUAUAAGGAGGAAAAUGGGGUGCAGUUCCCUGUGCGGAUGCUGGGGCCUGUGAUGGAGGAGGUGGGGUGGGUCCUGAAGUUGGCGGGCCACCAAACAAACCAUCGAGCGGCUGAGAGAAAGAACAGCAGCAGUAAGCUUAAUGGUUUUUUUUGGUAAAAAAAAAAGAAAAAGAAAAAAAAAUCUAAGUGAUAUAAGACUGGAGAUGUUGAAUGGUGGUGAACAUUUAUAACGGCAUACUUUGUUUCCAGCAUAUGAACUGAUAGGAACUAAAUAUUCAGUGAUACAAACAUCUGUGAAACUAUUGACAAUAUUAAAAUACACCCAUACGGAUUUGGAAGCUAACGCCUCCUAUUCAAAUCAAUUUUAGGACAUUGAUAUUGAGUAUUCAUGCCAUUAAAGAUAGAAAUAUAUAACAAACUCACAAUCAUACUUUUGCAAACUCUUUUACCACCUUAAAAGUGGCAAUUUUUACAAUAGAAGGGAGUUUCUUAUCACAGUUUUGAAUAACACAAGUAAGUUGAAUUCAUGAUAGAAAAAGUUGUUUCCAAAGUUCUAGAGCAAGAUGGAUGGCGCAGAUGAUUUUUGUUCGACUUACAUUUAAUUUCUAAAUAUUCCAAAUUGCUUAGAAAAAUCUAACACUGCGCAUAGGAUAGUUGGUCAGGCUCUGAACCUACGUGCCUAUGACUUUCUUCAAUGUAGAUUUCUAAAUUGAUGAGUAAGGAUGUUGUAUUCUAGCUUAAAUCUAUACAUAUAUAUGUGUAGAGAAAAAAUAUUCAAACAAAGGCUUACCGGGUGUCGAAAUGAGCAUUUUGAAUUCAAGCAGCUGCCAUUGAACCAGUACCAACAAUCCCUGGGAUUAACUCUUGCUCCGUCACUGUGACGAUACUCACAUUCGCUACCCUGAGUAAAAGAGGAAAAAACAAUGCGACUCAUCAAAAGAUUAAAUUUAAUAGAAAAAAAAAAAUUGCAGUCACUACAAACUAAGAACCUUCCUAAACUAAUAAUGCAGACAAAGGUGAACUAUGCGACAGAGAACACAACAAUUUCCAACCAUAUACAAUGACAAAAUCAGUAUAAUGUGAUGCAAGUUAAAUUAGUUAUUAUUUUUGUUUAAGAACAUUGGGAAUUCAUUUAUGAAAUGUGCCGAAAGAAAUUUCAAGUAUUUGUUAUACUGCACAAUGUUUUUUGUUCUGCAUGGCCUCUUCUGUCCCAAAAUUAAAAGCAAAUCCCUGAGGUGAAUAAGCCCACAAGGGGAUCUCAUCUAAUACAUGAAAAACUAUGCAAAGAUAAAACUUGGUAACAAAUUCAAGUCAUAACUCUGAUAGAUUAUGCAAAGCAUUGUAGACUACUUAUAUGCGAGCUUCUUUCACAAAAUUAACCAAGAAAUUUACAGGAGAAGCAGCAAGAUAUUCCACAACCAGUUCUAUAUUCUCACAUCAACAUCUGCAGCCUAGUAAGAACCGUAUUAGAUAUUCUGAUUAGAUCUAUCUCAACCAAGCACCCAAUUUAUUUCCAUCUGAAAAGAAAACCCUAGGUUUUCUCACCAUAAGGUCCAAAACCCUAGCUGCUCAACCCUAGACCUUCAAGAUCCUCCAAAAGAACCAACAACCAAUCAAAACCCUACAAAUUUCAGCUGAAAAAUAUCACCUUUUCAGCUCAGUUCAUGCAAGCAAAGCCAACAAAUUACCUACAAACCACACACACAAAAAAGAAGGAAAAAAAAAACAAAUAAAAUCCACAAUUCAAGAUGAAAAGAGUACAAAUCAAGAGAAAAGGAAUUAGAGAACUACCUUCUUGCACGUCAAUGGCGAGGCGAGGAAGUAGACGCAAUCGGUGUUCCGCUUCAGCGCCUCCUCCUCCGCCGUUAAAGGGCGAACCCCCUCCCGCUCCGCGGCGGAUUCCAUGGCCGCGCACCCCCAACCCACUCCCAGGCUCUCUCCUUUACCUCCCUCCGCGUAAUACGAUCGAGAAUCCGGGAUCGAUCUCGCCAAUCCGGGACGAUUCCGAGGCGUCGAGAGCUCGAUCCUCAGAGUAAUCGCCCAAGAACUAGGGCACCUAUGGGGGCAGCGGAGGAGAGAGGAAAUAGAUCUGAGCAGGAUAGGAUCGGGGGGGAAUCGGAAUAAGAGAGAGAGAGAGAGAGAGAGAGAGAGAGGGAUUUGGGGGCGGAGAUGGGGAUAAAAACACAGCGAAGUUGGAGAGAGGGGAAGGGGUUUGGGCUCGUCUUUUUGGCGACAGGUUUGGGUUAGGAGACUCCGCAGGGCUUGCGAAAACAUAAAACCCGACCCAGUUCGAUCCGAUCCGCAAAAUAAUUGAAAAAAAAUACAAAUUAAUUAUUUAAGUUGUCUCUUUAGACUUUUAUUAAGUUACUUAACUCUCUUUAUAGUUAACACACACAACUGUGGAGCGACUAAUUUUGACGAAUCUUUAAUUCACAGUGGUGGAAGCAAUUCAAAUCAGUGUAAGUGGAAACUGAGAGAGAAAAAUUAAGGAAACUUUGAGAGAAAGUUCCCGGUUAUUAUUUGUAUGAUGAACGAAGCGAAAAUAUUUUUAAUAGUAGGGAGAAAAAAAAAAAAAAAAAAAAAAAAAAAAAAAAAGGGAAGGUGUUUACAAUCAAUUUUUUGAUUUUUCAAUGUCUGGGAUAUAGUAUCACGUAGUCAACUUUCUUCAACAGGAGCCUUAAUCAUGUAAAUCAUGUACUCAAAAUUAGGAAGACACUUUGCUUUGCAGGAAAAUCAAAUCAAGCCCCUUCUUAUCCUGUGCCUUUGAUUGUAGUACAUAAUUUACUUCGAGAACAUCCACAGCAGAGAGAUGAGGGAGGAUACCCACAGUGAACAAUCCAAGAAGAAGGGCAAGUCAAUCCGAAAGCGGGUAGUAUGGGCCGAUGAGGUGGGCAAGGAGCUAGUGAAGGUAGGUAAGUGCUUUGAUGGCAAGGAGUUUCUUACUGGACAGGGAGCUAAUCGAGGGAGACAAAGGGGUAGCAUUGAAGACCAUUUAAGAGGUGAGCGAUCGAUUUGCCAGCUCGGAACGGACGAGGUAGACGGAGCUGGGGAGAAGAAGCAAAGGUGCCAGGGUGGGGAGGAGAGGACCUUACAUGUUUUCGGAAAGGGGUCAACCUCUGAGUUCAAGAACAAUGUUAAUGCCGGACACCGAGAAGGCAAGACGGAUGGGCUACACAGCUCAGCCUAUGGAGAGGGAAGGUACCUUGGGUUUGGUGGGUGCAGUAACUCCUCCCCCCCCAGAUGGCAGUCUUAUAAGGAGGCCCUGGUGAGGGGAUUGAAGCCACCUCUCUCUUCCAUCCACGUACCACUCAAAAAACACUCAUACAACCAGAGACCUAAGCUUUUGGCAAGUAAAUACCUUGCAAAAAGGUGUUUUAGGUGUCUGGCCAAGGAUCACAAAGCUGUAGCGUGCCGCGAUCCGGUGCGGUGUCUCUGCUGCUUGGGCUUCGGGCAUCGAGCACAACAGUGCAAGGAGAGAAGAGCUCUUUCGGAGAACGACAUCAUGAAUAGGCUUCCCCACCGCCAAGAUCGUGUGCCAGAGUCGAAAGUAUUCGUCCCGUACACGGACGAGUAUCUACGAAGACGGGAGAUGCGACGUAAUGCGGUCCUCGCGGACGUGCUCCGCCCUGCAAACCUGGGGCCUGAUCCUAUCGCAACAAUCAAAACGGCAUUAGCAAGGCGAUUCGGGGGCUAUAUCGACGACUUCGCGGUCGCUCGGUAUAGGGAGAGGGACUUUGCAAUUUUUUUGCCGGAAUGGGUACCAGCAUACGACCUAACAAGAAGGGAGGUUCUCACCCUUAACGACUUCUGGAUCCGCUGCUAUCCGUGGGGUCAGUACAGGUAUGCCCGUGCUCACCGGUCUAGGGUGCGUGCCUGGAUCCGGCUGAUCAACCUUCCUUUUGAGAUUUGGACUGUCCCACGGGUAGCGGCGAUAGUGAGCGGGUUCGGAAGGUUUGUGAAGGCGGACUCGGUCACCAAAGCAAUGACGGAUCUGCGAGCUUUUCGGUGCCAGGUGGUCCUGGAUUCGGUGCGAGAUGUCCCCCAAAACCUGUCGAUAGUGCUGGAUGAGGAGCGGCACCCUGUGAUGGUGCACAUCGAGAGCUGGGAGAGGAUUGAAGAAGGGGGACGGGGAGACCCACCUCUGCCGCCGCAGAAUGGACCGGAGGAAGGGAGGAGGGACGAGGAGGGUGAUGACAACAGUCUGCGGACUGGGGAUGAGGGCGAAUCGUCGGUGGCGGUGGAGAUGAUGGACGCGGGGGCCGGAGAAGUAGAGGAGGGGGAGGGGCCCGACCGAUCCCGAGUGCACCCUAGCGGUGGUGCACACCAGGCGAGGCUUUAUCGCCCGGCAGAGAUGCGACGAGGAGUUACGGAGAGGGUACCUAAGCGAACCCAGCGAACGGCGGAGUCGCUCCACAAGGCGGAACAAGGAAGGGGUGGGGCAACGCGUCAGAGGGAUGCGGCUCAGAAGAUUCUGAACGAGGGAGGGCAGACGGUGGGCGAGGUGCGACGGCGAGCGGAGUCGGAGACCGGAAAGGAGAUUCUGGGGAGGAACGGCUGGGAGAGAGAGACCGGGCGCUCGGCCGUGAAGGUCGGGAAAGAAGGGGAGCCGGCGGCGGACGACCGGUGGCCUCGCGCAACGGCAGGCGCCAAUACCAAGGAGUGGGAAGCGAGAAGUCUGAGGAAGGGGGAGCCGGAGGGAGCCUGGAGUUGCAUUAGAAUGGAGGGGGCAGUAGAGGGAGGUGUUCGGAAGGUCCACUCCCACUUACCUGAUAAGGGAUGUGGGGAUGUGACCGACACGAACCCCAAAGUUGAGGGGCCCGAGGCUGCUGCUGACCUGAUACAAACAUUGGGAACACAACCCGGGAAGCGGAUGUCAGAUGUGGGUUUAAUGCUUUUGGCCCCAUGUGGCGGUGAUAGUGUACUCGUGAGUGUGGGGACGCGGGCCUGGAUCAUCAGACCGGGUCUGAGCCCAGGCUUUAUGAACCAGAGAUUUAUUACUGUAGAGUGGGGGCGGAGUGUGAUGAUGUCUGAAGGCUUGGGGGGAGCUUUGGUGGACCCGAUUUUAGGUGUUACGCCCAGCUUCCUCCACCGACAAGUACCACCGUGUCACAGUCUGGGGGGACUAUUGGGCCCCCCACCCCUCCACCUGCCAAAAGAUGGGCCCCCUUGGCGCCAACUGGUCAGACCACGUGCAAGGAUGUCAUUGCCCUGCGGGCCCUCGGGUUGGCCCAUCUUACUGUGCGGGAUAAUGUGGGCUCGUUACUCCUGACACAAGGAGCGGUAGGCUUGGGCGACAGCGACGGGAGUCCCCCACCGAAUUGCGGAGGAAUGAAGCAUUACGAACAGGUCGAGGAUCGGCUCACCAGUCUUGAGCCGCCAUUGGAGGUCUCGGCUUUCGCUGAACCUGCCGAGGAAGUGGCCGCGAGCUUGAUCCCGGGGCAUUCCAUGUCUCCCGAUCUCACUGACGCAACCCCUCCAGCGAAGCCACUAAGAAAGAGCAAACGGCUGACACAGACCCAUUCCUCACCAAUUCUGUCCAAGGCUAUGGUCAGGAAAAUCAAGUUACGUGAAGGCGAUCAGCCGNCUGACACAAGGAGCGGUAGGCUUGGGCGACAGCGACGGGAGUCCCCCACCGAAUUGCGGAGGAAUGAAGCAUUACGAACAGGUCGAGGAUCGGCUUUCGCUGAACCUGCCGAGGAAGUGGCCGCGAGCUUGAUCCCGGGGCAUUCCAUGUCUCCCGAUCUCACUGACGCAACCCCUCCAGCGAAGCCACUAAGAAAGAGCAAACGGCUGACACAGACCCAUUCCUCACCAAUUCUGUCCAAGGCUAUGGUCAGGAAAAUCAAGUUACGUGAAGGCGAUCAGCCGGCCGGGCGACGACUAUCCGCAGCGAGGCUCUCCUCCAAGAGCCUCCUUUGCGGAGUGAAGCUCACUGAGAACGACGCGAAGAAUUUUAAGGCGUUUUUGAAUGACUGCAUGUAGUCAGAGCGGCUCGGGGACCAGUGGACUCCAUUUUGGGUUUUGUCGUGGAGAGUCUAUCGGUUGUUCUUAUGUUUCGCAUCUGUAGUUGGAACGUUAGAGGGCUUAAUGACCCCUCGAAACGGUGUGCCGUUAGGGCAGUUGUGUCGAAACUGUGUAAUGCAGUUGUUUGUCUUCAGGAGUCGAAGGUUAAAUAUGUAUCCGGGUCCUUCCUUAGGAGUGUUGGCGGUCCUUUUUUAAACAAAUGCGUCUUUCUUGAAGCAGAUGGCGCCUCAGGCGGUAUUAUCACUGGAUGGAGUUCUCGCUAUUACUCUUGCUUAGAAGUCCUAGUGAGGACUUACUCGAUCACUACUCUACUUUCCUCCAACACAAACGGAUCUAAGUUCUACCUCACUAACGUUUAUGGGCCUGCCUCGUGGGACGGUAAAGAGGAGUUCCUCGCUGAAUUAGCUCAGCUGAAGAACCACUGCGGAGGAAAGUGGAUCAUCUGUGGUGAUUUCAACUGCACUAGAGGACAAGUCGAACGGAGGGGAAAGCUUUGGAGCAUCAAAGCCACGGCCCUAUUUAACGAGCUGAUCUCUGAACUCGCUUUGAUAGACCUGCCCUUGUUGAACCAAUCUUACACGUGGUCCAACCUGCAAGCGAAACCAACCUUGGCGAAACUGGAUCGGUUCCUCGUUUCCCCUGAAUGGGAUCAGGAGUUUCCUCUCUCACGGGUGGAAGCCUUACCUAGAAUUGCAUCCGAUCACUGCCCUAUCUUACUUACAGCUGAUUUUUCCUCCAGGGCAAAGAAUACGAUCUUUCGUUUUGAGGAAGCCUGGUUGAAGCACGAGGGUUUCCUUUCUAAGCUUCCGGAAUGGUGGAGGGAGGGUUUACAGGGAACACAAGACAAGCCGGCUGUCCUCACCUUUACAGCCAAGCUGAGACACUGUCGGGUAAGGAUCAAGGAGUGGUGCGCCAAUGAGUUCUAUAGUGUAAGGAGAGUUAAGAAUCAACUUAUGGAGGAAAUACAGAAAAUUGAUAAAGCAGAAGAACAAGGUGAUAUACCGCCAGACCUAAGCAACAGGAGAAACGAACUAAAGGAUAACCUGAGAUGUGUGCUCCGUGACGAAGAAGUCAUUUGGAAAGCCCGAGCCAAGCAGCAUUGGCUACGAGAGGGGGACGGUAACACGAAAUUCUUUCACUCAGUUGCUAAUGGCAGACGCAGAGCCAACCGGAUUGGCCCACUCGUUGAGAAUGGCGUUACAUACCGAUCAGAGAAAGAGAAACGAGAUUACUUAUACCGCUCGUUUAAGAACCUCUUCACCCCCGAGGAUUCCAACCCUGCGUCCUUUGGUGACUGGGCAUGGCUUUUUCGAUCCAAUCGUGUUGAGUCGCCUGAACUCUCGAGGUUAACCGAACCCUUCAGCUUAGACGAAAUAAAGCGAGCUGUAUUCCAACUCGGCAGUGAUAAAGCGCCGGGCCCAGACGGAUUCUCGCUGCUAUUCUACCAAACCUUUUGGGACACCAUUAAGGAGGAUAUCUUGAACAUUUUUCAGGAGAUGUUUGAGGGGAGGCUCUCCACGGCUCCCAUUGACUAUGCUUUCAUCUGCCUUAUCCCUAAGAAGGAGGGAGCUGAACGGGCAACCGACUUCCGCCCUAUCAGCUUGCUAAACGGGAUCCAAAAGAUCCUAUCUAAGGUAUUGGCGAAUAGGCUCGAACUGGUGAUGUCGAUCUUGAUAUCCCCCACUCAGUCAGCUUUUCUGAAAGGUAGGAACAUUACUGACGCUUACGUGACCGCCGCUGAACUUAUUGGAUGGAGUUGUAAAAAGAAAGUGGAUGGAGUGGGGGUAAAGGUUGAUUUCGAGAAGGCCUACGAUAGGGUUAACUGGUCUUUCCUUCUUCAAGUUCUAAGGUGGUGGGGAUUCAACGACAAGUGGUGUAGCUGGAUCGAACUCUGUAUGUGUUAUGCGAAAGUGGCUAUUCUUGUGAACGGAGAGCCGACCAAAUGGAUAAAGACGAAAAGAGGUGUCAGGCAAGGGGAUCCGAUCUCGCCUUACCUAUUUCUGCUGGUGGCAGAGUGCCUAGCCCGUAUGACCAACGAGGCAAUCUCUAAUAAGCUCAUCAAAGGCAUUGGACCGAACGAGACUUGUAAGGUCUCUCUCAUCCAAUUUGCGGAUGACACCUUCUUCUUCAGCGAAGCAAGAAGCAGAUACUUGAAAAACCUCAGGUUUCUUUGGCGCCUCUUUGAAUGGGCUUGGGGUAUGAGAAUCAACAGGGCUAAGUCUGAACUCUACUACUUGGGUAAGGACGACGGAAAAGGUGCUAGAUUAGCUAACAUUCUCGGUUGUAGAGAGGGUACCCUCCCGACUAAGUACUUGGGCUUACCUCUUUCCCCUAGACCUCCUCACAGGGAGGCGUGGAGGGAGAUCAUCCAAAAGCUACACCACAAAAUAGGGGGUUGGCAAGCCAAACUACUCUCUAGAGGCGGUAGACUUAUCUUGGUUAACGCUGUUCUUACUAACCUACCCCUGUACUUUCUAUCCGUUUUCAAGGCUCCUGCAUGGGCGAUUAAGCGUAUCGAAGCCAUUAGAAGAGAUUUCUUCUGGAACGGCGGCCACAACCUCCCUGGGAAAGGUUGCCUCGUGGCUUGGAAGAACGUUUGUAAGCCCAAGAAGGAAGGCGGGCUAGGUAUCUUGGAUGUUGCUACCAUGAACCAAGCCCUUUUGACCAAAUGGUGGUGGAAAUUCCACAAGGCGCUUGACUUACAAUGGAACAAGGUAGUCAGACAUUUAUAUUACCGAAGACGAAAACCGCUAAGGGAGGGGCGAUCCUUCAGACCUUUUUCUAGCUGGUGGAUGGGAGUUCUCAGCCUUAAUACCAUCUUUAAUUGGGGAGCGGCUUUUAAGCUUGGGAACGGAAAUACAGUCGAUUUUUGGCUGGAUCGAUGGUGUGGGGAGAAGCCAUUGCACCUACUAUUCCCGGAAGCUUUCCUUAGAUCUGAAGGGAAAAACCUUCGAGUCGGCGAAUGCUUUACUAGGGGCGGCUGGAACUGGACCAAGAUCUUGGGAGACGAGUUGGAACAAAUGCAAGCACUGAUACCGAACCUCUCGGAGCUAGUGGAGUGGCUAUCCCGCUACACCGUUGAGAGCAGACGGGACGAGAUUCAAUGGCGAUGGAAUAAUGAUGGACACUUCUCGGUUAAAUCGACCUAUUCGGCUUUGACGGACGGCGGGACGAGGGAUGCCCGAGCCGGCGCCAUUUGGAGUCUCAAAAUUCCUCUCAAGGUUAAAGUAUUCAGCUGGCUAGUGCUUAAGAAAAGAAUUCUCACACGGGAUAAGCUAGUUAAGCGGGGGUGGAUUAGCGAUCCUAUUUGCGUGCUCUGCGGGGCGGACGAAGAAACUGUGGAUCACCUAUUCACUCGCUGUGUUUUUUACAAGUUUGUGUUAGUGACAGGAGUGGACGACAUCCAGGCCCAUGAUUUGGGGGAUGAUGUACACCUUGUGUGGGAUAGGUGGAUGUGCUUAAUGAACCAUCUAAAGAAGCGGAACAGACUUACAGACCUAGUUGGCUGCUGGUGGAGCAUCUGGAAUGCCCGAAACGAUUGUAUCUUUCGGAACAUCCCACCGAACCCCGGUUUAGCAACCCAGAGACUCUCCCUACUGCUGAAAGAGUGGGAUCUCCCUCUAGCCACUUAGCUGUCUUGGACCUAUGGUUGUUUUUUUUUUUUUUUUUUUUUUUUUUUUUUUUUUCCGGCUUGUUUUCUCUCGAGGCCAUGUUGCCUCACUCUUGUAGCUUAAUUCAUCCGUUUAAUGAAUGAAGCGGAUAGCGUGCUACCUUUUUCUCAAAAAAAUGUCUGGGAUAUAGUGAUGGUAUGCGAAAUUGUUUCGAUCUAAGAAUUAGAAAGUUGGUAGUAUUUUUGGUGAAUUCUUGCAUAAUCAUUAUGUUAUUUUUCUUUCUAUACUAAUAAUAAUAAUAAUACUAAUAAUAAUAAUAAUAAGGAGGUGGUGUGGAAUCAUUAGCAUCAGGAACACCAGCAUAGGAUAAAGGAAGAAGCUUUUUUUGGUGUUUCCUCGCGUGAGUGCAGCACCCGGAAGAGAAGAGGCUAAUGAGUUGGUUUGGUUGAUGGGGUGAGGAAUCGAGUGGAGUUUUUGAGUUCGAGUGACGUGCCAGGAGACUCUGGUACAAAUAUAAAACUUACGAAGGCCAUAAUUUUAUAAAUAUAUAAAAUAUUACUUAAACCCUUCUGAUUUCAUAGUCUCUUACAAACAUCUUAGGACUAGUGCAUCUACGAACAUAUGAUCCGUAAUCUGCUUUAAUAUCACUUGUUCAAUAAUUUCAAGCAUGUAAUAUACAUUAGAUAAUCACUCAAUUUUAACUCAAUUGAAAUAGCUCCUUGAAGUUUAUUCAUUUAUUUUUUCAAUAGACGAUCAUUCAACUUUCGCUUGUUUUGGCUUAAGAUGUUUCAAUCAUUGAAUCGAAAAUUUUGUUAAAGUAGUAUGCGAUUCUGCCAACUUUCGCAGAUCUAAAUUCUUUCACCUGGAGUAAGUUCUCUAGAGUCAAAACAAGUUCACGGGCCUAUCUUAAAAAUUGUCUAUACUUUAAGGGGUUUCCAAGCAUUUUUACGACAAACUAAUCAAGUCACUGAAGAGAGAAGUAAACUACAGCACUAGCAGUGUUUCAAUUUGGAAAUGAAACCUCCAAAGUGUGCAUCACACUGAUUCAUCUGAUGCAUCUGUAUGUUUACGCGCCACGCCAUCCUACUAAGGACCUCUUCUUUGUUUAUAGAUUAGAUGGCCGAUUUAAAAGCAAAAGACGAGAUGAAUGCUCGACGGAUACAUGGUGCACGGAUACAUGGUGCACGGAUGCGCAGAUGCAUCAGGCGAAGGCAACUAUUUCAUAUUUCCCAUCAAAUAGAGGAUGAGGGAAGGGACUGAUAUGGAACAGUGUACAAUGUUAGGGUGUCUGAUGCACAUUUCAAAAGUUCAGGAACCAAACUUAACUCUGCUAAAGUUCAGAUAGUGGUGUAAUUGCCCCAGAGAAAAUACACACAAAAAAACACCUCUUAAAUAAGUACGAAAUAACUUAAAUGUACACACAAAAAAACACCUCUUAAAUAAAUAGGAAAUAACUUAAAUGUCCGAAAUAGAAGAGCUUACGGAAUCACCUCAAUAUUUCGUGUUACAACCAGUUAACUGGAACACGAGAGACCACACGGGAUCCCUAUCGAAAACUUAUCAACUAUAGCAGUGGUUUAAUAUAUAUAGAGACAUGCCACAGCAAAUUAUAAGUUAAGAAAGAUAUUUAUAUCUAAACAGACAAAUCUGCAUUUUUCGAAGGCGUCGUGAACAUUUUACUGACUAGCGUAUCUCUACUAGUACAAAAUAACCUGACGUUGGGAGCCUUCUAAACAUAAAACCCACACUGGUGAAUGCUCCCAUUGAACCUGCAAGUAUUAAAAACCACCAUUGAAAAAAGUAAAUAACAUUCGAUUGACCUGGCUAAGGACAAUUAGUCUGUUGCUUAUAAAAGGGGGGGAAAAUGCUUAUUUUGUAGUGCCUUGGAAAACAUUUCUAGUAUUUUGCAACUUAAAAUUAAAGUUUGGCCAACUUCUGUUCAGUCCCUAAUGAGCUAGAAAUAGCAACAUGUACGUAUAAUUGAUAUCUACACUCUGGCCAUAUUCUCCACCACAAAAUACUGAUAACUAACCUUUAUUGUUUGUGUAAAUUGAUAGACUCAAACCCUAAUAUAUAUCUAAGAGGUUAGUUGCAGCUUGGACAUUCUCACUAUUGCAUGCUUUUCAUUAUUUGGAUGGAUCUUGUUGGGUUAGAAAAUUUAGUCUCCUAGUCAUGUUGUUGAUUGUUCUUUUCAAACAUUUUCCUCUCCAAAAUGUGAAAAAUGAAAUAUAUUUCUUUGUCACAGGUUAAAUAAAACAUGUAUUUUUGGACUAAAGCAGAACAAAAGCAGUAGAUAAAAUGGGAAAUAUCACUCCUGACUAGAGGAAAAAUAAGCAAUGCAUAUCUAGUAUACUAUACCAUUAAGCGAUAAAAGGUAAUUCAGCAUGGGGGUAUACCGACAGAAUUUAUACAUACCACGUACUGCUGCUCUAUUUGAGACGACUAACGGGGAUCAUUUCCUUGCUUUCCCAAACUCUGCACAUCCUCUGGUGAGAGUAUCUUAAUAUACCAAACGCUAUUGACAAAUGAUCUGCAGUUAAGGUUGGCAGCAAGCACCCAAGUGAGACACACAGAAGAGGGAUACUGUUUCUUUUUUAUGAUAGGAGGACAAUAUGCAGGUUAUAAAGCAGAUAGACUAAGCACAAGGGAUGGGAGAGAUAAAAUGUUUGCUUCAAAGUAAAAUGCUAUGUUGUAGGCAAUUAAAUCUUUCUUUUGUUUCUUACUCCCAGGGGUCGUCUCCAAGGAGAAGUAUGUCAUUCUCCCUGUCAACAAAUACAAGCUGCCAGCCUGAUCUAUGAGGGUCUUCCAAUUGACCCUGAAUACCGAACAUCUGACCCAGCUCUUCACGUAAUUCAUCAUAGUUGUUGAAGCGGGUGAUGUCCAAUGACCUUCCUACUGAUCCUGAUUUGUACACCUGCAUAUGAAGAUUACAAGCUUUAAUUAGUAACUUUUUACGGUGAUACUCAGAAGAACUUAAUAUGUGGUUCUCACCUUCACAAAUGUUCUGUUUGUUGAAUCAUUCUCUCCUGAAUUUUGCAACAAACCAGAUGACUCGUUGAGGCAACCAUACAACGGAUUUUGAAGAGAUGAAGAACCAUAUGGAAUUGUUGAUACAUCAUUGUCACCAGCAUUUGAAGUUAGAUUAGGCACUACAUUAUAGAGGAGUGAGGAAGAAUCGAUAUUAGCACCAAACAGGGUGUGGUUCGCUACAUCACCAUGGCCAUCAUUUUCAUUACCGGCAGAACCAUCUUUGCCCACAAGUGAUGGUAGCAAACCUGAGCCCCCAAAGGAUGAAGAAUGCGAUGCCAUUGGCUUUGGUUCCCAUUGUAAUUGCUGAUGCUCACUCAUCAUAGGUUGACUUAUUCUAGUUAAGUCUAUCAUAUUCGAACUUCCUUCAAGGAAACUAGAGUCUAACAUAUUCUGAGCACUGUUAGAAUUUAGAAUUGUUGAAAAGUUCAUGUUUGGAUCAGAAAGGCCAAAUUUCUGACAAAGGUGAGAGGGCAACUGCGACUGUUUCUGGAACACAGGGCUGCUAGGGACCUGAUAAUUCUGCGUCUGUUGAAUCUUCUGUUUCUGGUUGUUGAGCGGUUGCUGAUGCUGCUGCUGCUGAUGCUGCUGAUGCUGCUGCUGCUGCAGUUGUUGCAAUUGCUGGUGGAAAACAUGUUGCGACUGAGGACUAAUCAACUGCUGCUGACUUGCUUGCUGAAGAAUUUGCUGCUGCAUUAACAGGUUUAUAUUGCUGGGUUCUUGGGAAGACUGCAAAGGUUGCCGAAUAUGUAGAAAUUGCUGUUUCAUAGAAGUCCCAUUUGAUAACGUUGCAGCUGCCAUCAUUUGGUACUGGUCGUGAUCAUUUCCCAGCAAGGUAGAUUGGACCCUCUGUGGGCCCCAUGAGCCCAUACCAGGUGACUGAAAAUUUAAAGACUGAUAGUUUCCCUCUCCAGCAACACCUCUCAGCCACAUCAAAGCAUUGCUAUCGUCUCCUUUGACAUAUAAAAGUUAAUGGAAAAGAAUUCAAUAUUAGAAAGGGAAGAAAUCAAUGCUUCGAUCAUAUAACAGGCUUUUAUAUAGAACGAUCAAUAUCUAAUUUGGAUGAUAACAACAACAUCACAUCAUAUGUUUCAUCGAAUAUACUUCCAUAAUUAGAUUACUGCAUUAAAGGUUUUUGUCGACUUUCCGUAUUAAAGAUAUCUGUUCCUGUUUUAUCUUUUUUGAAACCCAAUUGGCACAUGAAACUCAUCAGAGAUUUUAUAAAAGUUAAAGCUAUUGAGGAAAAAAUAUAGACAUUUAUAAAAUACUAAUGCAUAGUUACAUACCGUGUAGACCAGGCACACCGGGAUACCAAGGAUGCUUCAGCCUAAGUGGAAACAAAGAGGGGUACAUGGGAAAGGUUGUCAAAGGUUCGAUUUCCCAUAAUGAAACUCUAGGCGGUCUCUCACCUGCCGUCGAUUCGUCCCAACCGACCUGUCAGUUAAAGGUUGUACAACGUUCCCAUCCCAAAGAAAAAGGAAAAAAAUCAGAGUUUAGUAUGACUUGAACACUCCGGCAUAUUGUAUACGUAAAACAUAAGUUACAAGGCAGUCAAUCAGAACUUGCAUAGCUACUUACUAAAAAUAACAAUUAAACCUUUAUAAGACGUCAACUGCCAAUUCUUUCCUCUAGAAAUGUUCAAUUUAAAUUGCACAAUUUAAUACAGUUGGAAGUAAGAAAUACGAAGAGAGUGAAAGUAAAACUUUCAUAUAGAAUUCAUCUCGAAGGAAAUUUUGGCAGGUUUAGAACAAGAAGAUACACACAAAAAAUGAAACAGCUAAGAAUACUUAUUACCUUGACUGAUCUCCAAUGAGAAUUUGGCCAUCGUAUAGGAUCCAUAUCACUUAUUUCUGUGAUCGUUCCCAUGUACCUAGAUUGAGAUGACAUUUACAUUAGACUUGUCCUCAAAUUAUUGUAAACUAGAACCAGUUGAACCCACAUUUAUAUACACUUUUAUCACCAUAAAUAAAAUUCCGCAAGACAACUACGGAGCAUCUCAGUGAUCUCACCAACUGAAAAUAAUUAACUAAAAUCACCAAACUAGGAAAAGUCUUAGCACAACUAGGGAAGGUUCCUAUGAAACAAUCAUGACCAAAUACCAGUUUAUUACCUACGAACGCUUGAUUCUUCAGUCUCAAACAGCAUACGAAAGCGCAUUCCAACCGAUAUUCGAGUGUGGAAAACAGCUUUAACAUACUUAGACAGUGGAAUCACAAACUCAGAUGGACUUGCCCUACAAAUUGCACCAGCCUCAACGAUUUCAGUAGGACAAACAUAGGCACAACAACCUAGGCUAAUCAAAGAUUACCUCGGGUUAUAAAAUAUAGUAAAGCGACUGUUUGUUGCAGCAGCAUGAGCUGCUGCUGCAAGGAGUCCAAUGUGCAUACUGUCACUUGACAGAACAGAUGAAGGCAUUAUUGUUUGUGGCCGACUAGCACGUCUGAUUCCCAGUAAAAGCUGGUUCUUCUCAUUCCUAAACAAAAUAAAAACAGGAGUGAAUUUAGAAAACCAUCAUAAAAGACUAAUAAGAGUAGGCAUUAUAAAGCAAACCAUAUAAAGAGGACAGAAUCUCCAGCUGCAAGUCUCUUGGCACUGACAAACACACUCCAGCCAGUAGUUAGAAGAUGCCUUUUUGGUUGGCCUGCAACAAAAUGAUGUACAAAUGCAUAAAAGAUGGCAUUAAAUUUUGCUUACAAAGAUUUUUAGCUAGUUAUAUCUGCAGCAUAAAAACCUGAAUUGUUCAAGGUCAUGAAUGCACAAUGUAUACCAAAUUGAACAUAAUUGUUUGGGUCAGUAUACCACUUUACUCAUUUCAGAGUACCGUUUAUAGCAGAUAGACUAUAUUAGUCAUGAACCUCAUUGUUGUUUUACAAGUAAAGGAUACGAUACAUUUGGACAAAACAGAAAAGAAAACAACACUAAUUUGGCACCCAAUAUUUUGUGGUUUAUGCGUGCCCCACCUGAGAUAUCACAUGUACAGGAUAAAAUAGUUCAAAUGAACUGAAAAAAAUUUCUCAAGAACCAACACGUCAAUGCCAAGUUGUUGGUUCAAUGCGGUAAUAGAAUCUCAAGUUGAAAUGCAUUAGCACCACUGUUACUUAUCACAACAAGCUAUAAAGAGCGCAAAGGGAUAUUACCCCAGAUAGGGAAAAGGUGAGCUACAACGUCAUACAAGCAUUGCACAAUAAAACGUGAUAUUCAAUAAAUACCAUAAAAGUCAAAACACAUGAUUUUGGUGAAUCAAUAUUUUGGAGUUGAAUGCCCCCAUAUUAGACAAAAUUUGAACAACACUAAUAAAAAGAAUCCCAAACAUUCUACAGGAAAGUUGAAGAUAAGCAACCUUUUGAACUUACCUCGGAAAAUGUGCCGGAACUUCCACUCAAUAUCAUGAAUAUCCCGAGCAAUAAGCUCCUGAGCUGGCGGCUGCUGUGAGAAGUCCUAGAAACAUUAAAAUUCCCCGGUUAUUCGUUUAGCCGCAGCCAAUAAGUGUAACAGCAAAAUAAUCGCAUUCACACACUUAUCAGACCAGAGGAGGGAACACUCUCUCGGCCGCGCGGCGAGGAACGGAGAAUCCUCCAUGAGUACUGGUAUCGCUCGCCGUCAAAGUCUUGCAGAAAUAAUUCGUCGGCUGCUUGCUCAUAAUGCCCAUCUCAGCUGGAAGAUAAGCAUCAUUUUGCUCUUGCUGCAAAAGUUACAAAAUUGCCCAACAAUUCUCCUCAAUCAACCUUCAUUUAACAUCACAAUCCUGUACAAUUACGCUUACCGGGUUUAGAGGCUGCAAGGUCAUUUGAGCAUAAACUUCAUCUGUUUCCACAUCUGCCUGAAAAGUUGAAACCUAUCAACACUUCCAGGAUCCAACGCAUGAAAAUAACCACACUAAUUCGUGACAAAAUAACACCAAAAAACUCACAUGCAUUGUAACAUCAUGCAGUUGGCAAAUCAAUUGAGGAGGUAGGUUUGGAUAAUUUGGGAUGUGUCCCUCAACCUCCUUGUUUGUGGAUGCAGCAACCUUAAAUUCCGAAACAAACAUAGAAUAUUAAAGCCCAGGUUAUUUUGCCUCUGCUCAUUAAAAGAAAUUUUGGUGGGGGAGUAAAACCCUCACCUGCUCGCUGUGACCCUGAGGGAAGUAGACGACGCGUGUUCCGAGCGUCGGUAGGCAAACGAGGGGGCCGGCGCAGGCGUGCCACAGCUCCGAGUUCAAGCAUUUCUUCUCUGAACAGGUUAAAGGUGCCUCUUUUAAGAAGGAAAUCGAAAAAAGGGGCAUGAUUAAGCACAAAAAUCGCAAAACAAUACCUUCUCCUGGGCGGGGAUCCAGGGUUCCCACCGAAGUGCUCAUCUCCAAAACCCUAAUUCCGCCGAAGCCCCUCAAGAGCGCUUCUUCAUCAAUCCUCGAACCCGCCAAAACCCCAUCGCCCUCGAAACACUCUAAAUCUCUCUAAGAAGCCGAACCAACUCAGAACCACCGCGAUCUACAGUCCCAUAGGAGCGAACCCUCGCAUCAGCUCCCAAAUCCCCACUCCAAAGCUAAAGAAGGAGCUACUGGAGCUUCUUUAGACGGACCACGCGAGACCUCAUCCGAGCUCCGAGGAGCUCGAGAUCGCCAUGAGAGGACGAAGCGGAGCUACGAAGCUAGUGAUCCUACGAGGAAAAGAGGGGGGAGGGGUGAAGGGGGAGGACGAGGAGAUAAGGAGGAGGAAGAGGACGAGGAGAGGACGGAGAAUUAGGUCGUAUGCGCCAUUUUAAGUUCGCGUUAGGUACUGUGGGAGUGUGUGUGGCAGGGGGUGGAUUUUAUAAAUUUCGAGAAGGAUAGGGGUUUCCGAGUAAAAUUCCCCUGUUUAAGUACGCUACGGUCGCGUACGUACGUGUGGACGUAGCGAUGGGGCGCAACGACGGUUAUAUAACUACGGUCUCUCUCUCUCUCCGUAAUAAUCGGGUAGGAAAGGAUGUUUCCUGUUUGACUGAGCCGGGUCCACCACGUCACCCGUGAACCAAAUAAAAUUGCCUCUUUUUAUACAUUUAUGAAGCAAUUAAAGAUGUGGAGUUAAAAAAAAAAGAUUUAAACGCAUCAAAAUCAAAUAUUCGUAUUUGAACUACUUUAUUUGACUGAACUUAUAUUUUUUAUUUACUUUUCUCAUCAAUUUUUUUGUAAAAAUAUAUAAAAAAAUUUUCACUACAGAACAAUUGAAAUUAGCUUUCCAUCUUUUUUAUUUUUUUAUGGACAAUCCGUCUUUUUUUUAGUUCAACAAAAUUAUUCAUCAUAAAUUGAAGAAAUUGUUGAAUUUGGUAACGGUUUAAAUGAAUCCAACUAGUUGUGCAUUAAAACAAUUAAUAAUCUUUUUAGAAUUCAUAAUUUGCUUAACAAAAAUAAAUUUAGUGGCAAUAACAAAAAACUAAUAAGGUGAAGUCCAUGGAAAAAGAGAAAUUUAAGUUUAGGGUGUAUUUUAAAAUCUCCUGUAAGUUUGAGGGGUCUUCAUAUAAUUUCACUCUGCUUGUCCAAUCCGGUUCAUUGAACAAGGUACAAGCAACAAUAAGUACCACAUAAAACAUUUGACUCAGUUGACUGCAUAUGGACAAAUUUUAUAAAAACCUAAAUCCAAAUUGGAUGAAUUUAUUCUAUAGUAAACAAAUAUAAUUUUACAUACAGAUGUAACAAAUUCGGAAAUGAAUCUUAUUUAUACUCAAUCCGAACUCGAACAUGAUCCGAAGAUGAAUAAAUUUUGUAGUAUAUAUUAUACACAUGAAUGUUUGAUGAUGUUAUAUUUAAAUGUAUAUUUUAAAACUAUAAAUUUUAAUAUAAUACACUUAAUAUAUGAUAAAGAGAAAUCGAUUGUUUCGGAUUCGGAUUUUAGAUCUUUAGUUGGGUCCGAUUUAGAUAUAAAUUUUCAAAAACCAUCGGGCUUGGAUUUUGAAUUCAUCUGUUAUAUUGAGAUUCAAGUUUUUAAAAAAUUCUUAUCCGAAUCUGAUCCGAUGAGAUUUAACUGCUCCACGAUUGUCUCCUUAUUCUCGGAUAUGUAAAUGCGUAGAACAUAAUCCUACGUAGUUAAUUUGGGCUUCAUGCACGGAUUUAAUAAGGAAUAACUUUUUCUGAUUCCUAAAUUAUCAUAAGAUAACAAGAUUAUUAUUUAGAACAAAUUUAAUUCUAUGCUUAGUAAUUAUUUGAUAUUAAAUGAGUGGUCGCAUCAACAGAAACUGUUUGAAAAUGAAAAGUCCGAUCGCAGAAAAUUAAACUUAUGACUCUCCCCGAACUCGACUUCACAGUUCUCUAAGGUAAAAAUGGUCGAUCUUCGUACAAUUAUAAGUAAAUGUUUAGUGCUUAAUUUCAAAGUCACAACUUUAAUUUUCUAUGCAUUUAGUAAUUGCAUGAAAACCUGAGUUGUUGGAUUCAAUACAAUGCGACCGAUUUUUUUUUUCCUUUCUUAAUGAUUUAUAGCAACAAUUUAUAUAUUUAACACAUUCCGUUCCAUGCAUAUUUGAUGAUUUCAACCCAAUAUGAUGAGAUGAAAAAAUUAUUUGCUACGUAGAUCCUAAGCACACAAUUACAAUUACAUCAAAAGUCGCGCAAGUUGUUGUUAAAUGUAAACAACAGAAAUUAACAGGCUAUGUAUUAGAAUUAGAAUGCUUUUAACUUAUUUGUUCAUUCUAUUUAUAUCCUUUAAAAAUAAAUCUAAUGGUGACGUAGGAAAAUUUUAUAUUUUUUGCACUCAAAAUCAAGAAUUAAUUUCAUACAUGUUCAUGCAAAUAUAGUAAAUGAUAAAUAUAUCCCUACAAAGUUCACUUUUUAUAUAUUGUUUCUAUAAAAAUUUGAAUAUUUUCAAAUAUAUCCUUCUAGUUUGUCACCGCUAGAGACCUGUUUAUUUUUUCAAUUUUGUUAUCACAAAUACGUUCAUCUAAAAAUCAUAACAGUAUAAUAUAAGAGAGCUAAAAAUAUUAAAAAUUAACGAGGAUUAAGUAUUUAAUCUAUAGUUAACUAAAUUUUAUAACGGAUUCUAACGGUAGAAAUAUAUUUAAAAAUAUUAGAAUUUUUACAGAAAUUAUAUAAAAAUUAAAUUUUAUAAAAAUAUAUUUAUUAUUUACUAUAUUUAUAAAAAUCUGUAUGGAAUUAACCCUAAAAUCAAAAACUCGAUAGAGCUCUAGAUUUGUAUAUAGACUUACGUGGGCUCACACCUCUGACUUAAUAAUCAGUUUCUACACGAAACAACUACACUGAUGGAGCUGUCAUUAAAAUUUAGAAAUAAAAUAAUCAAUCAAAUUCUGAAUAUUUUUGCAGAAUAAAUAUGUGGUGGAGGCUCUACUUAGGUAUCAAUGAGAGGAAUAUUUCAUCUGACCUAGAUAGGGAAAAAAAAAGAUGAGAUAUAGCUACACAGGUGUAACCAUCACCCAUAUAUUACUUCCAUAAGAAACCAAAAUGUAAAUGUUAGGCAACAUGGCAUUUGUUUAUUUCCUUAUUUCUUUCUUUUUUAUUAAAAAAAUAAUUUUAUAUAUAUAUAUAUAUAUAUAUAUAUAUAUAUAUAUAUAUAUAUAUAUAUAUAUAUAUAUAUAUAUAAUAUUAGGUUAUUAUUAUACUAUCAAUAAUACUGAAACUCCUAGUACUGUAGUUUUGUUUUCGGUCUUAAAAUAUUCAAAUCAACGAUCCACUUUGUUACAUAUUAUAUAGGGUAUAAAAAAUUUAAAAAAUUAAAAUUUUAAUUUUUUUCAACAUCGUUGUUACUUAGUAAGUGAAUUAUGUCAAAAUUAAUGAACGGUUGAAAUUGAACAAUCUUUAAAAUUUAAGGAUGGAACUUUUAAAUUCAAAAUAAAGGAUGUUAAUCUUGAUUUAGAUAGUUUAAAGUAUUUUUUAUUAAAAUUUGAAUAAAUUUAGAUUCUUCUACAUCAUUAAAUUACAAAGUCGUCGUACUGACCAUUGAAAAUUGACAAUUUUAAAAUAAUUUGCUUGUAAAGUAAAUUAAUUCGAAAAAAUAUAUAAUUUUAUUUCUAAAAUCUUUAAAUACCCUAGAUCGGUUUUAAAGAUAUGAAUCGUUGAUUUGAAUAUUGUAAUGUUGAAAACGAGACUAUAGUACCGAAGUCCUGGUACUAUAGACAGUAUAAGAACCUAGCUCUAUAUAUAUAGAGAGAGAAAGGGAGUCCGGUUACUAUACUAUGGAUAGCAUCAAGCUUUUGAUAUUAUCGAGUUUUCUAUAGAUAUACCUUUUGAUCAUUUCCAUCCGUUAGAUUAUACUAUUCAACCAAUUACCCACUCAACCCUAGGGGACCACUCAAUUCUAAGGGACUAAUAUCAUCUUAAUCCUAUAGCCACCGUUCGGUUCGGGGUUAAGUAAAAACUUGUUAUUCCAGGGAUAGAGUUAAGUUCAGGAUUAAGGUGGGAUUAAAGUAAUUUUCUAUUUGGUUGAGAAUUGGGUUUAGUCCAGAUAUAGAUAAAAUAAUAUUUGGUCAGAGUAGGUGGGAUAAGAAGGAUAGUGAGUAAAAUAGUAUUUUAUUUGUUUGAAAUAGUGGGGUGGGAUUAGCUAACCCCACCCCUCAAAUUGGAUAUUUGAAAAUAACUUCACGAUUAAGAGGUUAUUCCACCCCUUAAUCCCGAACCAAACGGGUGCAUAAAUUUUUAUGCGAUGGUUAAAAAUUUAAUAACAAAAAGGGCCAAAUCCUACUAAUAGUAUUCCAGCUCAUCUCUCUCCCUCUGUGUAUAUGUAUAUAUAUUAUAUAUUAUUUUUAGGGUUUGAAAGGGUGGACAACAUGGGUUCCACCAGUCACAUCAGGCAUGGUGUUUGUGUACUUGCCUCUACUAUUUCUGAUGUGACCCAUCUGGCUUUGCAAGAACACCUUGCCCCAUCUAUGAAUUGACAUCUCUGCUUAAUAAACAAGGUAUAUAUUGCACAGCAGUAUUCUCUGUACAGUUGUACAUUUCUCUUAUAAUUAGUAAGAUAUAAAUACUACAGUUUAUUUAUUUAUAUAUUAAAUGUUAAUAUAUUUAUGGUAAGAAUGUAUAAAGCUCAUAUAAACUAAUUUGACUAUUUAAUUUUUUUAAAAUUUUAAUUUUAUAUUUAAUUUUUUAUAUAUUUAAUUUAAAUAAUCUAAUGACUUUUCAAAUAUAAAAUUUAAGUUAAUUAUUUAUUUUUAAAAAAUUUUAAUUAUGCAAAUUAUAUAAAAUAUGCUUAUUAAUUAACUUGUAAAGAUAAACAAUAUAUUCAAAUUUCGAAGUUAAAAUGUCACUACUUAGUUCAAAUCAAAUCAACUAAAUGGUCAUGUGGUAAAACUAAAAUUUGUAGAGAUUAGGUAGUCUAAUCCAAAAAGGUAAUAGCUCAGAUAAGUCUUAUACAAUUUUACCUAUAUUUUUAAAGUAAUGAUCUUACUAGUUUUUUAUAUUAAAAUGUCAAAAUAACUUUUAUACUAUUAGAUGAGUGGGAUAUGAAAUGUACACUCUAUUUGUAGAAUAUACAAACAAUUGUUUUACUUUAAUUUACUUUUAAUGUGAGCCAUCUCUGGUGGAGUAUUUUUAGUUUUAGCAAAAAUAAAAGUUUGGAGACCCAAAACCGAUGUUCUCAUGAUAAGCAAAAAGUAGAAACAGUUUAAAAGAUUUUAAUAUUAUUUUUUUUAUGCUAUGGUUACUUUAAAUUAAUAUUAUUUUAUUGAGCAAUACUAAAUAAAUUAAUCAGCUGUAAUUUUAAAAUAGCAUAUCGUCGAGGUGUAGUAAAAAAAUUCAUAAGAUGCCCCUUAAAUAGAAAAAAAACAUGGUUUCUACUUUUAACUCAAGGUGAGGUAACUCAUCAAGAACACCUUUUUCACUACAGUAAAAAAAAAAAAGAAAAAAAAGAAAAGAAAAGCUUUGCAUGAUUUUUUGUUUGCUAAAUAUUGGACUGUUGUUUUGUGAAGUAGAAAAGUUACUUCAAAUUUUAUACUGUAGAAACACUUCUAGUUAUAUCUCAACCAAAUCAAAUGCUUACAUAGUAAAUCACGUGAAACUGAUUGGUUGUGACCAAUUAUAAAAAUAUAUUUGUGAAAAUCAUCUAUCAAUGCAUGCACAAUUUAUUUGCGUACAAAAGCAAUAGAAGUUCAUCUAGAACUCUCAUGCAAAACCAAUCCCAAAGCAUAUAUAGUAAUUGACCUGCACAUUUAACUUAAUAUGUCAUUAGGGUAUCGAUCAACAUCAUCUAUUGAAGCUCAAGAAAUUUCUAUAUCUUAAGCCCUUGUUUGGUUGGAGGUUAAGGGGUGGAAUAACCCCUUAACUCCCAUUUUAUCCCCAAACAUCCAAAAAAAUAGGUGGGGUUAGCUAAUCCCACCUCAAAUAAAUUAUCCCGGGUUAGCUAAUCCCAUCUAAUUCCACCAAACUCCAACCAAACACUAUUUUCUAUUCAUAAUAAUCCACUAUCUUUCUUAUCACACAUACUUCAACCAAUCAUUAUCCUUCUUUAUCAAUCAUUAUCUUUUUAUCCCACCUACUCAAACCAAACACUAUUUUUCAUUAUUCUAGACUAACUCCAACCCCCCAACCAAACACAAAAAAACUUUAACCCCACUUUAACCCUGAACUUAACUCUAUUCUUGAAAUAACUACUUUUUCCUUAACCCCGAACCAAACGGAGGCUAAAGCUUUAUACAUAUAUAUGUAUAUAUGUACGCGCGCGCGCACUAUAUCAUACCUAACACCUAAAAAU
rnacentral:lncRNA from 1 species